rnacentral:lncRNA from 1 species
AGCUUGAAGAUGAGGUGCGGGUGAAGCGCUUUUUAAAGGAUGCCUGAAGGGGGGUAAAAAUGGAAUUUUCACCGCGCCGGCACUUCGAGUUUUUCGGGAGUAGUGGCUGUCGUGGGCGCCCGUUUCGAAAAAAUUGCAAUGAUCAGCUGGAAGACCGCGAAACGGAAGGAUAUCUUCACUGCGGCCGUUUCGGAAGGGGGGUUAUAAAGAAUUUCGAAGUAAAAGACUAUGUUUUACUCCGAAACUGGGGGGCAUGUGUUGACACCAGAUUUCGUCACUAGUAGAAUCGGCGCCAAGAAGAGGGGAAAACGGAGGAGCACAGUUGGGAAUCGGCCAUGUGGUGCUAUAGUGUGAGAUCGGCUGGUGACUUCUGUCUUGUUUCGGGUCGAAUAUACCAGAGUCCCAAUCGGUAGCCUUUUGCCGAUGAGGAAUCGGCCGAUUAGGAGGAUGGGUUAAUUGGGCCUGUAUGGGCUUGGAAUAGAAGGAUGAGCUGGAAAUCAGCCCACGAAGCAUGGAGUAACUAACUUUGCACGAAUCGUGCUUGUAGAAAUUCGUUUUCUAUUUGAAUUAGGGAUAGAAUUCUAGUCGGUUAAGAAGAUAUCUGUACGGGGCUAUAAAUAGCUACCUUUGUAAAUCUGUAAUCAUCAACCAAUCAAUACAACAAGCUACUUUUUCUUCGUACUUACUUUCAAGCAGGCGACUUCGCCAUUACUUUUCUCUUCUCACGAGUUCGUGCGGGUUGGCAGGACUGCAUCAUCUUGAUCUUCGGUCGAUUCUGUAAGUUCCGUUUAUCGAGUAAUAUCUAAGCUUUAACUUCGGGCGUAUCGCUGUUGUUUUGUUUAGAUUUAUUCACUAGUUAUCGAUAUUUGCUAGAUUCAUAGGUUUUACCUGUUUUUCUAGUCUUUAUCACCAGUUAUCCAGCUAGGAAUCGGUAGUGUCGGCUUUCUUUACUUUCCAUUGUUAAAUUCAUCUACUGCCGAUUAGAUCUAUUCCUAGUGUUGUUAUCAUAAGCUUUGUAUCGAUUACUCUAGUAAUUCUUUGUCCACAAGGCUACAGUGAUCGGCUGCCCUAUAGCCGAUUCCUUUACUAUAGCAAAUCGGCCGAUUCGCUGAUAAGCUCUUUCGAGAUCGGAAACUUAGCCGAUCGUGAUUUCUGAACCUGACACGUAUUCUUCCUUGCCAAUCAACAGGUCAGAUUGGCUGGCACGCCGCGCGAACUGCACCAGGGCAUUCACCCGAACAGGAGCUAAGCAGAUUCUCCCAGGUCGUGUGUCGGACGUUGGGAUUCGGUUGACCGAUUUCUAGCGCCAACACACAGUUACCAACACAGUUUGUGUCUUGCAUGUUGUGCAUAUGAAACUACACCAUGAAAUUUUCGCAUUUGUUGUCCAAAUCAGGUGAUUCUUUUUUCCAAUUUCUCGAAAGACUUUUUCUUUUCAUGUGGUUUUAUUUACCUUGUGUUACCCGACCCCUUGUAUUAACAUUUUGUCAUUUGUUUGAAUAUUUACUUUCUCUACAAUGAACGGACUUUUUCAAAUUUUUCCAAGGUACCAGGGGCAUAUGAAUAGGCAAGUUGGAAUCUAUUAUGGUCAAAUGUGUAUCAUAUAUAUGGCAUAUCAUAUAGGUGUAUCAUGUUCAAUAUCACACCUUCUUUUCCUUGAGGUGAUUUCAUGUGGGGAUAGCCGCGAUGCUAGAAGAAUCCUCGUAGGAGGUUUCAUCACACGCCUCAUCUUGCAGCUCGUGAUCCAGUGGAGUACGCGCUGGAACUCGCGAGUGAUGGGUGAUGAGUGCCGGGGUCUUUAUCCCGCUCACUUAGAGGUGUAGGUGUGGCCGUUGGCUUGACAAGGCUAGCAAGAGAGCAGCCUUGUUUCCUUCUUUGCGUGGCACGCGGGAUUCAUCGUUGCCGCUAUCUAAGGCAGCGGCGGUGCAGGAGUUCCUGGUGUUGCCUUGGGUAGAGGACCUAGAUACGGCUGCGUUUUGCGCAGCUUCCUUGCGUGUAGGUCUCUCCCAUUGUAGUCGGUAGACCCGAGUGGCCUUGUUAUUUUGAAAAAGCCUGAGGCUUAAAUGCAGCCUGCCAGUAGGCAGUUGCUUGUAGUGUUUUUUUAUUCCGAGUACGUUUACUCGUAUGUAACUUGAUGUAUCUUCAAGCUUGAGUAAAGGAUUACUCUACCGCUGAGGCUUUGGACCAUAGCUGGAAUGCCUGUUGAGUUGAUAAGUCUUGAAUCAAGAGUGGUAUAACUUGUAGUCGAUAGCCGAGCUGUUGGCUCGAGUAGUGGACAUGAGUUUUUUCCUGAAGCAUUUACUCGAGUUCUUGUUGUCAACUACGCGUAGUAGCGACAAAGGUGUUUUAUGUUCCAAGAGUUUGGUACUUGUUCUCCUGAGAGCUCUUGUAAUCUGUAAGAUCCGGGUCCUGUUACCUUGGAUACAAUGUAAGGACCCUUCCAUGGUCAAUUGAGUUUAUGCAACCCUGUCAUGUCUUGGAUUCGCUUGAGGAUCAUAUCUGAUGAGGACACCACGAGUACAUCUACACCAGCAGCACCUCAGGCGCCUCCAGUUGCUCCUCCACCUCAGGCGCCUACAGUUGCUCAUCCAGUUGGGCCAAUCACUCGAGCCCGUGCGAGAGAAUUAAACUUCAUCAUGCUGUUAAGGAACGAAGGCCCAUCGGAAUAAGAAGAUGGCCCAACAGGGCAGCCCAGGUGGGGCGCCUAGGGUUGGGCGCCGUGACCCCUUCGGACUCCAGGGGCUGCGCCCCCUUUAUUUAGUCCGAGUCCUUUUUGUUUACGACUUGAGUUUUGUUUUACAUCUAGCUUUAGCUACUCUUGAACACGCGCAAAUACGCGCUGUCCUUGUGAUUCAGAACUCCACCUUCGAGUGAUAUUUAGAUUGCUCGCCUCUCUUUCUUGUUCGUUCUUCGAUUGCGGACAGGAAUCGAUCUUCGUGAUCAGGCUGAUCUCGCACCAGCGAGGUUGGUAACCAUCGGGAGUUGGUUCAGCGAUUGCAUUGGCGCUUCGGGUUCGCUCGUCGUAGUCGGAUCGUGAGGGUCUACUUCCACCAAGUCGAAUUUAUCUCCACUCACCGAAAGAUCGGGCACUCCGACUCUAUCAAGUGGUAUCAGCUUUCCAGGUUGAUCGGUGAGUUUUACCGAGUGUUUUUCCCUUCCUACAGUCCACAAAAACCAAAACAAAUUUUUUUCAGGUUAGAUCCUUUGUCCCAGCAACCGUUUAGCCUCGCACAUUCUUUCAAUAAGUGUCUUUGUUGAAUUUGUGUGCCUACUCGUUCAAUUGUUGCUGGUUACUUGUGUUUAAUCUUUUGUUUCUCGUUUUUCAUCUAACCCUAGUUUUUGCCGCCGCCGCCGUUCCGCUGCUCGCCAACCCUACCAGCCGCGCCCACCGCACCUCCCCCCGCGACAACCGCGCCGCGCUAUCCCACUACUCCGAUCGCCCCUCCCCUGUCAAAAAAAAAAGAUCGAACGCAAUCAAAAAAAAAAGGAAAGUGCAAAAAAAAAAAAAGGAAAGAAGCAAAAAAAAAAAAAGACGAAGAAGAAUCCAACAGGGAGAAGGAAGGUGAUUCGGAUUUGUUUCGGUGGAACCCCCCUUUGCGCGCGCCGUGACUCUUCCUGGGUCACGAACUCUCUGGUGUUAAUUCCCCCCUCCCCCACGCAUUCCGUGCCAGCCUUUCACAUCCGUAUCUCUCUUUCUUGGUCCUUUAUUAUUCUGAGGUCCGCCUUACUCUAGAGAGAGAGAGAGAGAGAGUGUGUGCCACAAUUUGAUAUUUGAGAUCCUCUGUGUUCAUAUUAUCAGUUUUGGGGCACCCUCUGUGAAAAACAAAAAAAAAAAAAACAGAAAUAAAAAAAAAAAAAAAAAAGAGGUGCGCCCUCUCCACCUUGCCUCUGUUCUUUCGAUUUUUCCUUGUUACCAGCAACUCUUGUUACGUGUUUGGCACUAUCUUUCAACUUUGCAUUAUUGUUUGAUUGUGCUAAUCCUUCAUUUGAGUGCAGCCUUCCCAGAACUCCACAUAGUUCUACGACGAGCAUAUUUUGUUUCUCCAGGCAAUCGCUCCUCCAAUCUUUCGUGAGUUCCACCGGUUGGUUGCAGUUCGCCCCUGUGUGCGUGGUAAGAACGGAUAAGAAUUUGAUAACAGCACUAGUGUGAGCGCCUUGUGAGCUGUUACACCCCUAUUUUGUCGUCGCUUGUGUUCUUGUCUUUGCGCUAACCAUGGCAGAUGACGUCGACGCGGGGGCUAACCAGCUGCAGGGCAUACGGGCGCAAGUUGAAGGGCUUGUCACCGACAUUCAGACGAUUCAUGAACGGCUGGACUCGACGAUCUCCUCGACGACCGCGCGGUGUGAUCAGCUCGACCUUGCACAGACGGCCGCUAAGGCCACACUCGACUCAGUUGUGGCAAGACUCGAUGCAUUGCACACUACAGUCGCAGAGUUGCAGCAGGGUUAUGGUGGUGACUCGGACCAGGACGAUGGCGACCGCCGAGGCCGUGCCCGCCGCGUGCCACGCCGUUCCGGUGGUAAUGAUUCCUUUUCCAAGAUUAAAUUUAAAAUCCCACCUUUUAAUGGCAAAUAUGAUCCUGCUGCAUAUCUUGAUUGGGAACUAGAAGUUGAACAGAAAUUUUCAUGCCAUGAUAUUCUUGCUAAUUCUCAAGUUAAAGCUGCUAUUAGUGAAUUUACUGAUUUUGCUUUAAUUUGGUGGCGUGAAUAUAAACACAAACAUCCCAAUACCAUUCCAACCACUUGGGAGCAAUUAAAAACUGCUAUGCGCCACAGAUUUGUGCCUUCUUAUUAUGCUCGCGAUUUGCUUAAUAAAAUGCAACGUUUUCAGCAAGGUUCCAAAUCUGUUGAGGAAUAUUUCCAGGAAUUACAAAUAGGCAUGAUUCGUUGUGGGUUAUUGGAGGAAAACGAUGCUGCUAUGGCACGUUUCCGUGGUGGUUUGAACCGCGAAAUUCAGGAUAUACUUGAUUAUAAGGACUACACAGAUAUGACAACAUUAUUUGAAUAUGCUUGCAAAGCUGAACGUGAAGUGCAGGGACGCCGCUCGAAGACAUAUUCUAACUCUUUUGCAGGAAGAAGCUCGACAUCCAACUCCGCACCCGCUCUCCCUGCGCCACCCACGCCCACCACUACACCGCGUGAGCGAACGGCCAAACCUGCAAGCGCUGCCCCUUCCACAGGCGCCGCCCCUCCCACAGGCCGUACACGGGAUAUUCAGUGUCAUCGUUGCAAAGGAUUUGGCCAUGUGAUUCGGGACUGUCCAAACAAGCGCACUUUGCUUCUUCGUGAUGAUGGUGAGUACUCUUCCGCUAGUGAUUCUGAAGAUACUCGACAUGCGAUGCUUGCCACUGACCAUGCAGCUAUGGAGGUACAUGUCAACCCGGGUGACGCCGAUAGGUAUGAAAGUCUUGUUGUGCAGCGUGUUCUUAGUACACAGGUCGCACCGUCCGAGAAGAAUCAGCGACACACUCUUUUCCAUACCAAGGGCGUUGUGCAGGAGCGGUCGAUUCGCAUCAUCAUCGACAGCGGCAGCUGCAACAAUUUGGCGAGUACCACGCUGGUUGAAAAGUUGUCUUUACCCACUCGUAAGCAUCCACAUCCAUAUCACAUUCAAUGGCUUAAUGACGGUGGGAAAAUUAGAAUUACUCGAUCAGUCCGUGUUCCUUUCUCCAUGGGUGCUUAUUCUGAUUUUGUCGAUUGUGAUGUUAUUCCCAUGGAAGCAUGCUCUCUGUUACUUGGGCGACCUUGGCAAUAUGAUACUGAUAGCUUGCAUCAUGGUCGUUCAAAUCACUAUUCUUUCAUGUUUAAGGGUCAGAAAAUAAUUAUACAUCCAAUGACACCUGAACAAAUUCUUAAAGAUGAUCUUGCUAGAGCUGCGAAAACUGCUAAACAACUUGAACCAUCAACAUCUCUUAAUUCUGAAAUCAAGUUGAAUGCUCCUGUUUUGCUUGCCACACGUGCUGAUUUUGAUGAGUUACGCGAUGCUCCUUUGCCAUGCUAUGCCCUUAUAUGCUCUAGUGUGCUCGUUUCACUUGAUGAUGCACCAUCUUUGGAUAUUCCCCCUGCGGUUGCUAACAUUUUGCAGGAGUACGCUGAUGUCUUUCCGAAAGAUUUGCCACCGGGACUUCCACCACUUCGUGGCAUUGAGCACCAGAUCGACCUCAUUCCCGGCGCACAGCUUCCGAACCGCGCACCGUACCGUACAAAUCCGGAUGAGACGAAGGAAAUCCAGCGCCAGGUACAGGCGUUGCUUGACAAGGGUUAUAUUCGUGAGUCUCUUAGCCCUUGCUCCGUUCCUGUGUUACUUGUUCCAAAGAAAGAUGGCUCAUGGCGUAUGUGUGUAGACUGUCGUGCUAUUAAUAACAUUACCAUUCGCUACCGAUACCCUAUACCACGCCUUGAUGAUAUGCUAGAUGAGCUUAGUGGUGCCAUUAUUUUCACUAAGAUUGAUUUGCGUAGUGGCUACCAUCAGAUUCGCAUGAAAUUAGGUGAUGAAUGGAAAACGGCUUUUAAAACGAAAUUUGGGUUAUAUGAAUGGUUGGUUAUGCCGUUUGGUUUGACAAAUGCUCCCAGCACAUUUAUGCGUUUGAUGAAUGAAGUUCUGAGGCCCUUCAUAGGAUUGUUUGUAGUUGUCUAUUUUGAUGAUAUCCUCAUUUACAGCAAGUCUAUGGAAGAGCAUUUAGAACAUUUGCGUGCUGUUUUUGAUGCAUUGCGUGCGGCCCAUUUAUUUGCUAACCUCGACAAAUGCAUGUUUUGCACACAACGUGUCUCGUUUCUUGGCUAUGUUGUUACUCCACAGGGCAUUGAGGUGGAUAGCAGCAAGAUUGAUGCCAUUCGGGAGUGGCCUACACCGACAACGGUCACACAAAUUCGAAGCUUUCUUGGCCUUGCAGGUUUCUACCGCCGGUUUGUUCGUGAUUUUAGCUCCAUUGCAGCGCCUCUACAUGAGCUUACAAAGAAGGAUGUUCCCUUUGCUUGGAGUGAUUCGCAAGAGGUUGCGUUCAGCACCUUGAAAGAUAAGUUAACCAAUGCUCCUCUCUUGCAGUUGCCUGAUUUUACUAAAGUGUUUGAGCUUGAAUGCGAUGCUAGCGGUAUUGGGCUAGGUGCUGUUUUGUUACAAGAAGGAAAACCGGUUGCUUACUUUAGUGAGAAAUUAAGUGGUGCUAGCUUGAAUUAUUCUACUUAUGAUAAGGAGCUUUAUGCUUUAGUGCGCACUUUGCAUACUUGGCAGCACUACCUUUGGCAUCGCGAGUUUAUAAUUCAUUCUGAUCAUGAGGCUUUAAAACAUAUUCGUACCCAAACAAACCUGAACCGUCGUCAUGCUAAAUGGGUAGAAUUCAUUGAGUCUUUCCCUUACAUUAUUAAACAUAAGAGCGGGAAGGAAAAUGUCAUUGCUGAUGCUUUGUCUCGUCGCUAUACCAUGCUGUCACAGUUAGAUUUUAAAAUCUUUGGCUUGCAAACUGUGAAGGAUCAAUAUGUGGAUGAUGCUGAUUUUAAAGAUGCUUUCGCCCACUGUAUUCAUGGCAAACCAUGGGGCAAAUUUCACAUACAGGACGGGUUCCUGUUUCGCGCUCACAAGCUGUGUGUUCCAGCUAGCUCGGUUCGUCGUUUGUUGUUACAGGAAGCGCAUGGAGGCGGUCUCAUGGGGCACUUUGGCGUCUACAAGACGCAUGAAGUGCUGGCUGCCCACUUCUUUUGGCCCCGGAUGCGCGCUGAUGUUGAGCGCCUUGUUGCCCGCUGCACUACUUGCCAGAAAGCUAAGUCACGAUUAAACAACCAUGGUUUGUACAUGCCUUUGCCUGUUCCUACUUCCCCUUGGCUUGAUAUUUCUAUGGACUUUGUUUUGGGAUUGCCUAGAACUAAGAAGGGGAGGGACAGUAUUUUUGUGGUUGUUGAUCGUUUCUCCAAAAUGGCUCAUUUUAUACCUUGUCAUAAGACUGAUGAUGCUAGCAAUGUUGCUGAAUUGUUCUUUCGCGAGAUUAUUCGUUUGCAUGGUAUUCCAAAUACAAUAGUCUCUGAUCGUGAUGCUAAGUUUCUCAGUCAUUUUUGGAGAUCACUAUGGAAUAAAAUGGGAACUAAAUUGCUGUUUAGCACCACUUGUCACCCUCAGACUGAUGGACAAACUGAGGUGGUUAAUCGAACCUUGUCCACUAUGCUUAGGGCUGUUUUAGAUAAACACUUGAAACGUUGGGAAGAUUGCUUGCCUCAUGUUGAGUUUGCUUAUAAUCAUGCAACGCAUUCUUCUACAAAGAUGUGUCCUUUUCAAGUUGUUUAUGGUUAUAUUCCUCGGGCGCCUAUUGAUUUGUUUGCACUUGAUGCCGAGGACACCCCACACAUAGAUGCCGCUGCACAUGUUGAUCAAAUGAUUCGCUUGCAUGAGCAAACUAAACAAAACAUUGCUGCUGCUAAUGCUAAAUAUCAGGUUGCGGGUAGUAAAGGGAGAAAACAUGUUACUUUUGCACCGGGUGAUCUGGUUUGGUUGCAUUUGAGGAAGGAUCGUUUUCCUACCUUACGUCGUUCUAAAUUGAUGCCACGUGCUGCUGGUCCUUUUAAAGUGCUAACCAAGAUUAAUGAUAAUGCUUAUAUCCUUGACCUGCCUGCGGAGUUUGGUGUUUCCACGAGUUUUAAUGUUGCAGAUUUGAAACCGUAUGUGGGCGAAGAUGAGGAGUUGCCGUCGAGGACGACUUCAGUUCAAGAAGGGGAGGAUGAUGAGGACACCACGAGUACAUCUACACCAGCAGCACCUCAGGCGCCUCCAGUUGCUCCUCCACCUCAGGCGCCUACAGUUGCUCAUCCAGUUGGGCCAAUCACUCGAGCCCGUGCGAGAGAAUUAAACUUCAUCAUGCUGUUAAGGAACGAAGGCCCAUCGGAAUAAGAAGAUGGCCCAACAGGGCAGCCCAGGUGGGGCGCCUAGGGUUGGGCGCCGUGACCCCUUCGGACUCCAGGGGCUGCGCCCCCUUUAUUUAGUCCGAGUCCUUUUUGUUUACGACUUGAGUUUUGUUUUACAUCUAGCUUUAGCUACUCUUGAACACGCGCAAAUACGCGCUGUCCUUGUGAUUCAGAACUCCACCUUCGAGUGAUAUUUAGAUUGCUCGCCUCUCUUUCUUGUUCGUUCUUCGAUUGCGGACAGGAAUCGAUCUUCGUGAUCAGGCUGAUCUCGCACCAGCGAGGUUGGUAACCAUCGGGAGUUGGUUCAGCGAUUGCAUUGGCGCUUCGGGUUCGCUCGUCGUAGUCGGAUCGUGAGGGUCUACUUCCACCAAGUCGAAUUUAUCUCCACUCACCGAAAGAUCGGGCACUCCGACUCUAUCAAUAUCUCCCAAGUUGAAAGAUCGUUCCUUGACGUUACGGUCGUGGUAACGCCUUAACCCAUCAAGGUACCGGGCAGAUUGCACUAGCGCUGCGCAUCUUGCUUCUUCUAGACUGUCUAGAUCUGUUUGCCUUGUUUCUGCUGCCAGUUCUUCAUCGUAUUGCUCGACUGAGGGUGAUUGCCACAUGAUGUCGGCGGGUAAUAUGGCUUCUGAGCCAUAUACGAGGAAAUAGGGCGAAACCCCAGUAGUCUUGAAUGGUUGGGUUCGUACUCCCCAUAGAGCAUUGGGUAAUUCUUUGAGCCAUUUGCCUCCUUUGGUGUUGCCGACAUCAUGUAGUCAUUUUUUGAGGGCUUCGAGUAACAUGCCAUUGGCACGCUCGACUUAUCCAUUAGCUCGCGAGUGAGCGACCGAGACGUAGCGAAUGCCCGCUGUUCUCACAGUAUUCCCAGAAGUCAUGAUUGUUGAAGUUUGACCCUAGGUCGGUGAUGAUCCUGUUUGGAAAACCGUAACAGUGUACGAUGUCGUCCACGAAGUCGAGGACUCAAUCUACCUUAGGGAAGUGACUGGUUUGACCUCGAUCCACUUGGUGAACUUGUCAAUUGCCACGAGUACUCGAUUGAAUCCUCCUGGCGCAGUCGGCAGUGGCCCUAUCAUGUCAAGCCCCCAGCAGGCAAACGGCCAUGUUGGAGGUAUUGUGACUAGCUUGUAGGCUGGUACAUGUUGCUAUUUAGUGAAGAAUUGACAACCUUUGCACUUCCGGACUAGCUUUUUAGCAUCAGCUAGAGCCAUUGGCCAGUAGAAGCCUGCUCUGAAAGCCUUGCCAAUUAUAGUCCGUGAUGAUGCGUGGUUGCCGCAGAUUCCCUUGUGAAUUUCUUCUAGGAUUUCGUGGCCAUCUUCAAGGGUAACACACUUCAUGAGUACCCCUGAUGAUGCACUUUUCCUGUAGAGCUUGCCUCUGACUAGAACGUAGUUUUUUACUCGCCGGGAGAUUUGUUCGGCUUGAUUUUUGUCAGGGGGUAACUUGUGAUCCUUGAUGUAGUCGAUGAAGGGUGCCCUCCAGUCGACUUCUAUCAUCAUGAUUUCUCAUGUGAUGUCAGUAGUCUGGACUAUUGGCGGUGUAACUUGUUCAGGUAUGGACGGCUUGUGCAGUUCGUGUACGAAAAUUCCUACUGGAACCUCUGCACGAGUUGAGCCCAUUUUUGAUAAGAUGUCAGUGGCUAUGUUAUUGUCACGGACGAUGUGAUGAAACUCCAAGCCUGAGAACUUGUUUUCCAGUUUGCGAACUUCUUUGCAGUAAGCAUCCAUGUUAUCCUUGUUUCGGUCCCACUCGUCAUUGACUUGGUUUAUAACGACUAGUGAGUCGCCAUACACCAGUAGUCUUUUGAUGUCGAGGGAGAUUGCGAGGCGAAGGUCGUGUAGCAGUGCUUCGUACUCGGCUUCGUUGUUUGAUGCUUCCCAGAAGAUUUGCAGUACGUAUUUGAGUUGAUCUACCUUUGGGGAUAUGAGGAGUACGCCUGCACCAGCCCCUUCGAGUUUGAGGGAUCCGUCGAAAUACAUUACUCAGUGCUCUGGCCGCUCGAUUGGAGUUGGCACUUGAUUCUCAGUCCAUUCAGCCACAAAGUCGACCAAACCUUGGGAUUUAAUAGCUGUCCUUGGUUUGAAGUCCAAGAUCAAAGCUUCGAGUUCAACUGCCCAUUUGGAGAUUCUACCCGUGGCAUCUCUGUUGUGGAGGAUUUCGCCGAGUGGGAAGUUAGAGAUGACUGUGAUGUUGUGUUCUUGGAAAUAAUGGCGCAGUUUCUGGGAGGUGAGCAAGAUUGCAUAUAGGAGUUUUUGUAUCGGUGAGUACCGAGUUUUGGAGUCGGAGAGUACUUCACUGACGAAGUAUACAGGUCGUUGGACCUUGUAAGCGUGGCCUGGUUCAGACCGUUUGACUACUAUUGCCGUGCUGACGACAUGAGUAGUAGCUGAUAUGUAUAGGAGCAAGUCCUCGUUUGGAGAUGGAGCAGUGAGUACCGGAGGCUUUGACAGAAAGUCUUUGAGUUGCGAUAAUGGCUUAUCUGCCUCUUCUGUCCAUUUGAACUUGUCCUGAUGUUUGAGAAGCUUGAAGAAGGGUAGUCCCCGUUCUCCAAGUCUCGAGAUGAACCGAUUGAGAGUGGCCAUGCAGCCUGUCAGUUUCUGCGCAUCUUUGAUACUAGCUGGUGCUUGCAUGUUUGUGAUGGCAGAUAUUUUUUUCGGGUUAGCCUCAAUGCCGCGAUGGCUAAUUAUGAACCCAAGUAACUUGCCAGAAGGUACUCCGAAGACGCACUUAGUAGGAUUGAGUUUCCAGCGGAAAGCUCGUAGACUAGAGAAGGUUUCCUCCAUAUCGGCGAUGAGUUCCUCUUGGUUUCUUGUUUUGACGACUACAUCAUUGACAUAAGCUUCGACAUUGCGGUGAAGUUGCUUUUCGAAGCACAUCUGUAUGGCUCGUUGGUAGGUUGCUCCUGCAUUUUUUAAUUCGAAGGACAUUGUCUUGUAGCAGAAAGCUCCAAAUGGUGUGAUGAAAGCUGUUUUGGCUUGAUCCUCUUCCUUGAGGCUUAUCUGAUGAUAGCCUGAGUAGCAGUCGAGAAAACAUAGUAAAGCGCACCCCGCAGUGGAGUCGACAACUUGGUCGAUCCUGGAUAGCCCGAAAGGGUCUUUGGGGCAGUGCUUGUUGAGGUCGGUGUAGUCGACGCACAUUCUCCACUCAUUGUUCUUCUUCUGAACUAGGACGGAAUUGGUGAGCCAGUCAGGGUGAAAGACUUCUUUGAUGAACCCUGCUGCGAGUAGCUUAGCUAGCUCUUUUUUUAUUGCUUCUCGUCGGUCUUGAGCGAAUCUGCGAAGUCGCUGCCGUUUUGGAGUACCUUUGGGAUCAACAUUUAAACAGUGCUCGAUCAGCUCCUUGGGCACCCCUGGCAUGUCAUCUGGUUUCCAAGCGAAGAUAUCGUGGUUAGCCCGAAGGAAACUGACGAGCACGGAUUCCUAUUUAGGAUCUAGCCCUCUUCCGAUCAGGGCUGUCUUGGAGGAGUCGCCUGUCUGGAGAUCGACUGGUUUGAAGUCUUGCUCGCUGGCGGGUUUCACCUUUGUAGACCCCGACUUGUUUUCUAGGAUCUUGAGUUCAGUUGGGUGCAGUUUCUUUGAAGCUGUGAAGACUUGUUGCAUGGGACUAGGUGCUUGGGAAGUCACGGAGAUUUCCACAGCUUCGGUGUCGCAUUCGUAGGAUCGCCGUAGAUCUCCCCGUAGCGUUAGUUCUCCCUUGGGGCCUGGCAUUUUGAGUACAAAGUAAACGUAGUGUGGUAUGGCCAUGAACUUGGCGAGUGCUAGCCUUCCGAGUAUGGCGUGGUAAGAUGUCUCAAAGUCGGCAACUUUGAAUCUAAUGUACUCGGUACGGUAGUGUUCCUUAGUUCCAAAGGUGACUGGGAAGACGACUUGUCCUAGUGGUAUGGCUGCAUUUCAAGGUACGAUGCCGUAGAAGGGUGAAUCUAUUGGAGUAAGCAUUUCUGUGAUGUCGAGGCAUAUCUUCCUCAAUGUUUUGGCGAAAAUGACAUUGAGUCCACUUCCACCGUUGAUGAGUACUUUUGUUAGCUUCGACCCUGCCACCACGGGGUUGAGUACUAGAGGAAAACGGCCUGGUUCUGAGAACUUGGUCCAUUGGUCCUUCCUGCUGAAGGAUAUGGGCACUUCUGACCACUUUAGCGGUGUUGGAUCUGUUGGUUCAAUGUCCAUGAUCUCCCUGAGUAUGAGUUUGUUGGCUCGCUUGGAUGCGGUGCCUGGGAUUCCGCCAAAGAUGACGUUGACUGUCUUGGAGGCUGUCUGGAAGUUGCCUUCUUCUUCGUCGUUGUUGUGGACUUUGUUCUUGCCCUUGUCCUUUUUCUUGUUGUAUUCUUCAUGGGGUGGUGGUGCGGGUAAGUCUUGCAUUACUCGGCGCAUGCUGUAGCAGUCUAUUGCUGAGUGUUUGCUAGUCGGGUGCCAUGGGCACUACUUUUUGAGUAGUUCAGUGAAGGUCGGCCCUUCAUCGUUUUUGCGAGAUCCCUUUUUCCUGAAGUUUGUCAUGGCAGCAACAGUGUUGUCGGGCUUCCUUUUGCGAUUGCGAAUUGCUCGAAAAGUUGUUUCGAGUAUCAUUGUGUUGAGUUCUAUCCUGGUCAUUGUUGUUGUUGGUAUCGCGUCCACGGUUGCGGUGGGAGCCGAACCAUUCUCGCUACUGUUUAAAUUCAACCAUUACCCCCACUGCUCUAAGAGAUUCAUAGAAAGAUAAAAUUGAAAACCCCCAUAUGAGUUUCAUAUGGAAGAUAGCUAAGAGCUUUAAUAAAGAAGAAACAUAGUUUUGAUCCAUUAAAGAAACUAUAACAAAAGAUGAAACUGUAGCUAUCACUUCAUAGAAGCUUCAGUCUUGGCACUUGAUUGCCUUCAGUUUGGCUCACCACCCUGUCUGGGCUUCUUUAUCUUGCUUGCAUUUGUCCCUUCAGUGGACUGUGUGGAUGCAGCAGGUUCAUUGCCCCUGAGGCUUGGCACUUUUCUUGACAACCUUCUUGAUAGUUUUCUUCUUGGCAUUUAAUGCUUCAUUUGAUAGUUCUUUGGCAUCCAUUUGGCAAAAGGUGGCACCCUGAUUUUUUAUGACUCAAGGAGACAUAGUUGGUGGUCUAUCAGCAGAGCAAGCAAGGCAAUUUUUUCUUAUGCAAGUUUGUUUCUUAAAAAUCUAGCCAGAUCUUUGAGUCUUUCACUCCUUCUAACUUUGUCAUCCUCCACUAUUAUCACUUUAGUGGCAAGGUUUUUCUUUCUUUUCCUAGGAGAGGCUUCUUGUGGUGUUUUGACAUUUUCAUCAAGAUUGUCACAUGUUAUAUGAAUAGGAGCCUUCUCUAUUGGGAGGCUAGACUGCAAGUUGUCUGAGUUGUGUAAGGAAGAUGAAAUACAUUCCUAAGCCUUGGAUGCCAAAAAGUUCUUAGCCCAUUCAAAAUGUGUUGGUAACAAAAGGAGAGAGGUGAACAAAUCAGCCCACUCAAGGGGGAUGCUUGUUUUGGGCAAGCUUGGUAGCUAGUUGUCGAAAUGCUUGGUCCAGAUUCUGAGUGUUUGCUGUUGGCUUUCUCUGAGAAAAAGCAUUGUAUCCAGGGUCCACUGAGAAAUUGUCUUGCAUCCUCACCAUACCAAUCUGGAUGUUGUCAAGUUGAUUGUUCUCUGGAUCUUCUUCAUGGAAGUUGUUUGGCCAUAAAUCUUCUUCUAUGAUUUCUUCAGGGAGAAAGGCUCCAUAUUGUUGUUGGACAGGCACACCCAGUACAAGAUUCAGGUUCAUGUUAACUGAGCUAUCUGAACCUAGUAGAGAACCAGAGUUUGAGCAACUAAGUGUGGAAUUUGUAAGGCAUUAGCCAGCUGAAUAGCUAGGUCAGCCAAAGCAUUUAAUGCUUCAAUGUCUGCAAUCUCCUCAUCAUUUAGCUUAGGAAUAGGAAUAAAAUCCUCUUCUACUUCCUUGACCACCUCAACCAUAUUAUCAUCCGGAUCAGGUGCAAUGUUAAGGUCUAGCAUCAUGUCAAUCAGUGCAUCAUUGUUGUUAGCUGCAUUCCAAUCUGGCUAGAUAUCUAGAACAUGAUUAGGAGGUGGUUGUAUUUCUGCCUCUUGCCAAUGAUUUGAGGGACCCUGACCAUGCUAGCCAAAUCCAAAAAAGUCAUACAUUGGUGGAUUAUUGUCAAUCAAAGGGUGAUCAUCAGGCUUGGGAUCUUCAUCAACUGGUAGUACACCAAGCAUGGUGUGUUGCAAGAUCUCAUAUUGGAUGGUUCAAGAUUGACCAUGAAAUUCAUCUUCAGCUGUGAAAACAAUGAACUCUGGCACAGAGGCUAGAUCCACUACAUGCACCUUUAAAGUCAGAUGGUUAUCAGGAAAUUAAGUGAGCAAAAUAGACUAUUGCCUGAUCAAUAUCUUCCUGCUCCCAGUUAUCAAGAUUAAACCCAAGCAACAUAAGCCAACACUUCUGAUUAAACUCAAUUGAUUUCCAGUUUCACCAGCAUUGUGUUUCUUAACUGUUAUCAUAAGCAUAUUCAAAGUGAACCAAUGCUUGUCCCAGAUGGCUAGGGUAAAUAUCCCUAAUCUCAAUCUUCAUGUGAUCAACAAAGAACUCGCAAAGAAGAACCUCAAUCGCGUGGAACUGCACCUCAAACUCUAGCAUUGGUUUGUUGGAGACGAUGGCCCAAUCUUCAUGCAUUGGAGAUCUUCAAGGCACCACAACACAUACCAUCCUUUCAUGAUUAGGAACCCAAUGUGGGUUGAAUCCUGGUGGCAUGAACGGCGAGGGUUCGCCCUUUGGAACUGGUACUCCAUGGAUUGCCGCCUUGAGCACUCCGGCAGCGGUGAGUUGCAGAUGGGGUUUUCUUUCGAUCCUGGAAUAGUGGAGUUUGUUUCGAUAAGGGAAGUCCAAGGGACGCGGAGAUAACAAUAAUUUUCCAUAGUUGACAAGAUGUAAUCACCAAAAUAAGAAAAAAUUGGUGGGUCAUGUCCAUUGGUCCUAUUUUUCACUAGAUGUGGCUGACGAACCGAGUUAGCAAAGGGUCCAUCAAUCAUUGAGUGCUUGGCUGAUUUUGGUACGCUCCAUGAAAAAGAUUUGUAUGUUCCAGCUUUGCCAAUCACAGAGGAUGCAAAAUCCAUGAAGGAAGGAAAAAAGGGUGGAGGUGUACCUGGUUGUGGAAUUUUACUCCAGGAUUUGAUAGUUUCCGAAUUCCACUUAUCAUUUGGAGAAGAUGAUCAAAAAGAAUCAGUAGGUUGAGACUUUCACUGGUACAGAAAUGAGCAGUAUUCCUGGUUGGGAAACCUCAUAGAUCUCGGUUUUUCCAACCGGGACUAAUCAUUCGGGACUAAAGGUCAACCUGGGACUAUUAGUAAUUCCUGGGAGCACCCCCACACACACGCGCAAGUCACAAUUCAUGCUAUUUUUCACGCGAAAUAUGCAUGUGCGGGUUGCGUGGGAUUCAAACCCACAACCUCAAUCCUCAAUCUGAUUGAGCAAGGGAUGCAAUCCUUUUGUAGUAACUCAUGGGGGAUCCUUGUCUCCACGGACUACGAAAUUUAGACUCGGGACUAAAGAAGAAAUGACUAAAAUUUCUUUAGUCCGAAGUUCAAAAACAAUCGAUAUUUUUAUUGAGGAUGGAAGAUCGUUUUUUCACCCGUGUUUGGCCGAAAACCAUAUACUGUUCUUGAGCAAUGUGCUGCAAUAUGACCUGUACGAUGACAAGUAUCACAUUUUAUUGCAUUCGUGUAAGAUGAACGAACAUGAGCCAUUGAUAAACAUCUAGAGCAAGAGAAUCCCAAUGUUGUCGCAGGUGUAUUUUGACCAAACCCUGACAUAUAUUUCGAAUUUGAAAAAACUGGCCGUUGGUUGGGAGCCAUGUUCUACGCUGGUUCACGCUGACUGGGUGGUUUCAAAUUUCUCAGAAUAUUAAAACUGUUAAUUCUGCUGAAGACUGAUUUCUGAGUAGGGCGAUCAUGAGUUUGGUUGGGCGAUAAAUGGGAAUAGAAUUGACACCGGUCAGUGGAGUUUUCAUAGCUGACGCUGAUUUUGCCACUUUGCAUAAGAUCUUUUAUCUCGCUUGGACAUUACUUUGGUCCAGGGAUGUUAGGGACUGUGAUUUGUUGAGAGGCAUUGCAUUGCCCGCUCAUAGCCCUUGUCAUUACAUAGAGUGAAGACCAACUUGAAAAUAUCACAUGUGUAUGAAUGCAAAUCAUAGAUCAUGAAACCCACAUUCUUAGAUUCCACUCUGAAUUUGAAAAUGCAGUGAUCCAAUUCCACCACAUUGAGACAUGUCGAAGAGCCACGAAUAACCGAUUGCAACAGAAUGCCCACAGAAGAAAUAUCAAGACGAAAUUUGCAUUGAGGAAGAGAUGCUAGAAGCCAGAAACCAGAGACAGAUUCCGGAGGGGAGGUGGCAGAAGAAUGUAAAGAGGAUCAUACCUUGGCUGAGAAGGAUUUCCCUGGUCCAUAAUCAAGACGAGAGAAAUCUAUGAUUGAGUUAGGGAUGAUCAUAGGAGAUCAUGGGCGGAGUUCGCGAUCGCCAUCACAAUCGCCACGAUCGUCUCUCCAUUUCUCUCGAAGCCUCCUCAUUUAUCAACCUCAUAAAAAAGAUCACAUGCAAACAACAUUAAACUGGCCAACGCAAAGCUAAAGUUGUACUCUCACACUAGUGUCUUAACACACCGACAUGGUCCCAGGUAAAUAUAUCAGGGAUUUUGUUGUAGCAAAUUGUUAAGAUAUGUGAAAAGAAAAUUUAUAGACCUCACUUGCGUAAGAUUGGUGAAGCUCCUGACUACUCUGAAUAUGAACAUGCCACGAUCCCUAUAAGAACAUAUAUGUAUAUAUAUAAUGUUCAGGUUUGCCGGAUGAUGAAUCUAGACAGCGCAUGGAUGAAAAUUAGAGGCACGUUUGAUGUUUCGCUGCUUUAUUUUCAGCGAACAAAUAGAACACAAUGAUGGAAAGAAAUUUUGUAGCUCUAUGCCAAAGCAGAGUCUCUAUGCCAAAGCAGAGUAAUUGCAGAAACUGAAAAAUAGCUGUUCCAAAAUUCUAUCCGUGUUUCAUUAUUCUGACUUUGAGUACAAUCUCCUUGUCAUCUUUAAUUUGAAUGAUUUUCUUCUCGUCAUCUGCAAGCAUAGCUCAAGGAUAUUGCUGAUACGAGACCAUCACAGUUUUGUCCAUUAAAAAAUAGAAAUAAUCCAUGGUUGAACCGACUCUUUUUGAUCAACUCUGCUACACAUGGUGCCACAGCUCCAACAUGGUGCAGCAGCCGAGAGCUGCAGGACGACGCAUCUCCUCGUCUGCAAGCCCAAGAACACGGGCAUGGUAGAAAGCAUGCAUCUGCUAGUAGAGAAUCAUUUUCCUCGCAAGGCCAGGGCAAGCACAGCAGCAGCCUCAGGCCCUUAAUUACGACAAUGUCAUAACCAUAGGCAUUAUGAGGAUGAGACAUCAUAACUUUCCUCCUGAUGCCGCUCAUUCUGAAUGUAAUCAGAAUGCUGCUGGAAUAUCAGUGGCACUGUGGCAGCGAGAAGUAUCUCUAACUGGGAACAUCCACGAAUUCCUACUACCAAUGCUUCUAGACAUGUGUUGUUCCUCUUCCUAUGAGUUAUAAUGGAAAGGGAGUAUAAUUAUAGAAAGAUAAAUGACAACAAACUAUCGAGAUGGAAGGAGCAAGGGCUUGAAAUGCACAUUUAAAUACCUAUUAAUAUUGAACAUCAUAGGUAGGUAUAAAAUAGAUUGAGAUUAAAUGAAAUAAAUCCGUAAUUUUCAGCAUGAUGCAGCACACAUGUUCUUUUAGGUGCAAUUGGCCUCAUUCAUUCCACCAAGGGCGAUGUCCGAUCCAACCUAUGGUUGGCACCUGGUGAGCAGCCACUGACAUCACGUGGAGCUUAGGCAUCGGGCUUUGGUUGCUCAGCUUGCAGCAAUUACGUACAUGACGGACUGAGCGCAGGCUGGAGGACAAGGUGCUCAGUGAAGCAACCAAAACCGUGUCAAAACUUGUGUCCUGUCCGGCUAUUGGACACCCUCUGUUCACCAAUGACCAGUAGCAGAGUUCGUCCGUUCCAACAAGAAGCAUUCCUGGCGCCACUCACUCAACGAAUGGAUGAAGUAGAUUCACUUCUCUCACCCUGAACGCAAGUGUACAUCAUUGGGAAAUAAGGGAAAGCUUGAAGAAGAAAGGGCUAGUGGUACAUGAAGCACAUAUAAAUAGCCGAUGGAUGGAAUGAAUUUUCUUUAAACUUUUAGUUAGUUCGUGUUGAAUGUAUAUGUUAUGGGCAGAGUUAGAUCACGAGUAACGUUUCAUAUUCUAGCACUGUAAAAUCUGAGCGUGAAUUUAAAGUUGCUCAUAUAUCAGGAACAUAAAUAUACCAACUUAUUACCAACUUAUGGCUCAUAUCUUCUCUGUCUGAGAGGAAGCACGUUUAUGAUUGAUCAUAUAAAAAUAUUGCGAUGCAGUUGUACCGUAUCUCCAACUGUGCUAUCUCGCACUAGAUGGCGAAGGAAAAAUGGCUCUCGCUCGCGCUCGCUACCAUUCCCCCUCCCACGGUCUCCACGACCACCCCUCACCGACCGCCACUCCGGCACCAGCGUCCACCGCCCACCGCCCUAACAGCCCCCACCCCCCCCCUCCCCACCUUUGCCUUCUCUCCCGACGCCACGCCUUUCCACCCCGGUGGCGUGUCGGGCGGGAGGGGCAAGUAGGUGAGAUGGCUCAACAAUUCCGACUUCAACGUCGCAUCCAUCUGCGCCUCCUCCCCACGCCCACCAACCGCAAUGUGCUUCUGAGUGCUCCUGCUUCACCACCGUCGGAGCCACGCACCGCCACCGCUCGCGCCCUGUCUCCUACGGACCUACCUCCCGUGCACCAACACCCUGCGCCGUCGACCAAGGACCGGCACGGCCGCCGUCCAGAGAGACGCCGCGGCUAGACAGUCCUGGUCCAUGGGCUGCCUACACAGCAGACGGAGGAAACCGCCGCGCACGCCCGGAUCCGCUCUGUGCUUGUCCAGCCCACGCCUGAGCAUGCGCUGGCGGAGGAAGGCUGGACCACGGCAGAGAGCCGACAGACCAGGUCAAGGCGUUGUCGUCGUCAGCGAUAGGCCCAAUAGCGGCAAGCAACAGCGUCGCAGCCUGUGCCGGCGGCCAAGAGCAUCCCGCAGGAAUUCUCGGGCCGAUGCCUCAACUGCUUGUCUUACAAGCACUUGGUAGUUCACUGCCGCCUUCCGAUGAGGUACUUCCGCUGCAGGGGCCUCUGGCACCUUGCCAGAGACUGCAAGCGGCCGUGCAGCCCCAUCAGCUCGGUCUCCUCCGGCGACGGAGGGGACGCCGGCUGGUUCGCCCGCGUCACACCUUUCCGCCAACACCGUGGGGUCUGCAAGCUCAUGGGCGCACACCCUCCCCAACGGCCUUCAGUGACAAUCGUCCAUGGCGUGGACACUCCCACCGUGCAAGGUGGAAUGCCCCAUCGUGAAGCUAGCCACUCGAAUUGCUCGCGCGGACGCAGAUCGUCGCCGCCACACCAAGACAGGAACCUCCCGCGCCACCCCUUUGGGAAGGGCCAUCAGGUUCAUAGAGCGAUGAUGGUGUGGAAUCUGGGGCGCAUUCGCACUUCUUCCAUGAUGAGGAUACUCUUCCUGGCCACCCCGCGACUCGCCCGGCGGAGGAGGCGUGCUUCCUCUCCUAUGACGCGGAGAUGGAUGCCGAAGAAGGCAGGCUGCAGCUGGCACUUCUAGCGGCGGUGCCAGGAGGAAUGCAGCACGUGCCACUAGAAGAUUUGCGUCGCGCGAUCUCGGAGCUCCAGGAAGCCGGUUCAGAUAACUGCACCAUAAAGCGUUUCUAGCCGGAGAGCUUCAUCAUCGUCUUCACGACACAGCAAGCCAGAGACACUACCAUGAGCGCAGGGAGCAUCCCGGUCGGCGAUUCACUCCUUUUCUUCAGGCCAUGGACGUGCCUCGUCAGAGCAAAAGCAAAGAUGCUGCAGUUCAGAGCUUCGAUCGAGAUUGAAGGCGUGCCGGUGCACACAUGGAGCCGGCGUACCGCACAAAGGCUGCUCUCAACCUCAUGCUAGAUUGAGCGCAUCGAGCAAGCAAUGGAAGAGUGCUCUGAUCUGUCCAAGAUGAAGAUCAUGGCGUGGACAGAUGAUUCAAGCAGGAUCCCAAGGAGGAAGAAGCUCCUCAUCAAAGAGCACAAGCGGCAGAUCGUCUACGAUGAUCCGGACAUGCAACGGAUUUUUUCAAUCUUCUGCCCUACCUGCGCUAGAAGAAGGUUCUAUCCUACGACAUCCUCAUUCACCUGAGGCACAUCAUGGAUUUCUGUUCGCGCUUGCCCUCGCCUUCGCCGGGGCCGUCUCCUCCAUCUAGUGACGGCGACUCCGAGCAUGACGGCAAUCCGGACCGGGGUUAGGGCGAAUCCCAUGGAGUUGGACCGUGCUUACAUGGAUUCUUCACACAAGGAGUCUGAUGGGGGCACCACGCUGGCGUCUGAUGCCAGGCCGUCUGGGGUCCAUCUGCGGUGCGCUGCACCUCAGCAACCGCCACAAAGAAUGGUGCCACUGGCUACCGCAGAUGUGGGACCAACGUGCUCACCGACGGCCAUGUCCACACGGUGCGACGAGCAAGCAUUGCCGGAGGCCGGGAAGAUGGUGGCGCCGUCGUGCACGCCAUCUCGGGCGGCCACGACCGGGUCAAACGGCACGGCCACAGAACCGGAAACGGGUGGGGUGCCUGUGAACCACCUACCCCCGUCUGCGCUCAACAGCGAUGUGCACGCCUCCCAGCAGUGGCUGCCCAUGACCCACCCAUCCCCUGCCACAACUGCCACAGGUGCGUGCCCAACCGACAGCAAGUCAAGGGUGCACCGCAAGCCAACAGGCAGAGAAACGCCUAUGCAGGAGUUGACUUUCGACCGCAUCCUGCCAUUGAGGGAGCGCCACACCGUGGACCCCAUGCUCAUCGAGUCCGUGCUGUCCUCCUUUUCAAACUUCGGUGCCAAAGCUCCCGCGAAACGACGCCAACUGCCACGCCGCUGGCACGUACUCUCAUCGUGCGAGGAGCCAGCCCGAACGCGUGCACGACACCACAUGCGGGGAAUUUUUUUUAACCAUUUUUUUAUUUAAUUUUAAAAAUAACCUCAGCGGGACUAUAUUUGCGGCAGGUAACCCUUUUAGCCAUGCCAGACCGCCUGGCGCGGCAGGCAGCCUCUACCGCGCCGCAUGCACUGGCACGGCAGGCCCCUGCCAUGCUGGCGCAGUGAGUCGCGACGCCAGGUGCGCGCUGACAUGGCGGGCGCUCACCGCGCCAGCCUGCCUAGCGUGGCAGAGCCUACGCUACAGCCGCGCGCCGGCUCCCUUCCUCCUCCCUCCCUCCUUUCUUCCUCCUCCAGACACACCAGCGCCCUUAGCUUGUUGCGCCGACCCCCACCGCCCCACCCCCACAUCCACCCAAAAUCCGGCGAUUUCAGUGGGGGAAAGAAGUGGAAAUCGAUCCCUGCUUCGCGUGGAAGGUAUUCCCCUACUUUUUCUCGUGUUUUACCGUUGCAUUUGGUAGAUCGAAGGAUGUUUAGGUGACUUAGGGUUAGGUUGAUGAUUUCAAUUUUGAAUGAAAUGCAAUGGUGUUUUGUGUUAGAUGAUACGUAGUUCAUACGCAAUUGAGUCUCUGCCCGCGAUAUUGACGUGUUGAACUUGUUGAAUGCUUCGAUUUAGGUAUAUAUUCAUCCAAUUGUGUGGUUUACAUGACAUGUAUUUUUUUAUAUGUUCAAUUAAUUAGUCUCAUAUUUUUGUUCCUUAAUAUAGUUGCUAUAGUUGAUAUGUUUCAGUGUUUGUAUUUUAUCGAAAUGAUGUAUAUAGCUCGUAUGGAUUACGUGUGUAAAAUUUAUUUGUGUAUUAAUUUUGUGGCACUUGAUGUCCAGGUGAGAUGACGUCGUUUGGUUGUGAAUACAAGCGGCGUAGGUGGUAUGUGCGUUAUGUGGGCGAGUCCAAUGGUGCUGGUCCCGUACCUCCUGCCCUUCCAGUACCCCUUUGUAGAUGUGGCGUGCAAGUAUAGGUGAAACAGUCAAGGCAUCUAAAGACAGCCGGAAGAGCCUUCUAUGUAUGCAAGUGGACUUUUGAUCCAAUGCCUGCCGCACCUUGUGAUUUCUUUCAGUGGAUCGAUGGACCCGACAAAUAUGAUCCUAGGAUCCGCCUAUUCCCAUAUCAUAGCAUAGAGCUUAAACCAUACCAUCAGUUUAGGCGUUAGGUUCCUCCUCCACCAAACCCACCUAGGAUGACCGAGGAGGAGAAGCAGGAGGCUGCUUGUAGGCGUGUGAGGGAUCCUCCCAUGUGCAAGUGUGGUGUUCCUGCUAAGCUUAUGCGUCCUAACUUAGGGGAUCCACCUAAGUUUACUCCAUUCUUUUGAUGCUCGCUAAAGACUCAUGUAAGUUUAUUAUGAGAAUAUUAGUAUGUCGUGUAGCUAGCAGUUAUAAUUUUGCAGUAUAUUGUUCAGACUUUUACUUGAUGUUAUUGCUUGGAAGUUGGAGCAGCGUUUUCUAGUUACUUUACAUAUGAGUAGUUCACGUCACCGUUUUUUUUCAGGAUGGGUGGCCGUUGUGUGAUUUCAAUGAGUAUAUAUACGGCCCAAUGGCAAUGUGGCCAACGAAGGAGCAAGUGCGGGAGUUCGAGAGUGGAAAGGCACCGUGGCUAUGUGUGUCCUCUCCUAGUGAUAGAUGCAAGUGUGGUAUAUUGGCAACACAAGGUGUGGUGCCUUCUGAACUUGGAUAUGGUUCGUUCUGUGGAAAUGCACAUGGCGAUUACUGGGUUAGUAACUACUCGUCUCUUGUGUGUUAUUAAGGUUGGAACUUGUUUCAAAUUUGUAAGAAUAUGAAAUUGUUAUUGCAGGAGGGAAGGACAUGUGAUUGGGAAGAUUUUUCUGGUCAUUAUGAUUUGUUAUUAAAGUUAGGUAAUACAUCGGAACCAUGGAAGUCAAGGAAACAACAAGAACUUAAAGAAAAGAUUAGGAAGGAGUAUGAUGUGCCUAUACCUGACAACGACUUGCUUUGGGGGAAAAUAUAUCAAGAUAUGGUGCAUGAGACUGGAGUGGAACCUGAAGGACUUUAUGCGAGGGAAACUAUUAUUAAGUAUUGGAGGCAGAAUAGAUCCAAGUAUCCACGACCUCUAACUGAAAAUAAGAAGAGAGAAAAUAGGAGGAAGUUGCAGGAGGAGAGGGAGUUGGAGAAACAAAGGUUGAGGGAGGAAAGAGAUCGCUUAGGUUAUGUGGUUGAUCCAAAUGCGAAAUACCCUAAGGGUUCAUGGGAAGAAUAUUUGUAGUAGGUUAGGGAAAGAAAGAGAAGGAUUGAAAUGGAAGAGUUACAACAAAAGGCGGAAGAGGCGCAGAUGGAGACGAUGAAGGCUCUUGUUGCCGAUUUACCUGUUGGUAAGGUUAAUGUCGAUAAGAAAGGGAAGGGAGUUGUUAUUGCCGGGGAUGAUGAUGAUGAUGACGAGUUACUAUAUGAAGGUGACUCGGACUAGAUGAACGCAUUGAUGUAGCUGGAUCAUGUUUCUCUUUAGUUGUGAAAACAAUGUUCAUUUAUGAGAAAACUAUGUUUAUGUUUAUUAUGAGAACUACGAUUAGUUGUCAAAAACUAUUUUCAUUUAUGAGAGAACUAUGUCCAAACGCAUCAAAGUUUCCUCUCCGAGCUAGUAGUCAGCGCUAGAGUGUGAAAGAAAUAGUAGUAGCUUCGAUAAAAAUUUCUAGCAUACUCACAAGUCACGUGAGAACCAAUAUCACCAUCAGAAGUGCUUACCUGAGACCCUGAAACUAAAAGUAGCUCUCAUCCUCGUAACCGUAAAUAAAUAAUAUGAUAACAUCUGAGGUUCAAGAAAGCUAUUUGAGCCACGUGUGGAUGGACCACAAGUGCAAGCAAAUUGGGGUGCUAGUUCAGCCCCAUUUUUACUCUCUUCUAGAUCCGCUCUUUGCAAUGAGUACUUCCUCGUGUCAGAAAGGCAAGAAAAAGAAGGCAUUUGUGAUCUAAUAACAGUAGAAGAUGAAGUACGAAUGGGGCAACACGUACCCCUAACAUUUAAUGCACGUGUGUAUGUCAUUCUUCUUAUCCAUGAUUGCGCACUGGUAUGAUCUAAUCCUAUUGCAGAACACUCCGCGGGCGUCUUGUUAGUACCCUCUGCCUUGUGUUAAAUGUAGCCAAAAUUACCGAGCCUACUACAAAACAUUAUUCUCUAUCCUAACCACGGGCUUGCUGCGCCACUCCGCCUGGCGAAGCAGCAAUGCGCUGCCCGGUGGGGAUGGGGCUUGCCGCGCCAGAAAGAGUGGCGCGGCAGCAGUGAUCUGCCGCACCAAACGAACCAAAGUUUCAGUAGGGUUCGCCCGGGGUGGGCCUUGCCACGCUAGGCGGAGUGGCGCGACAGCAGUGCUCUGUUGCGCCAAGAGACCCAAACUUUCAGUAGGUUUCGCCCGGGGGUGGGGGCUUGCUGCGCCAGGCGGAGUGGUGCGGCAGCAGUGCUCUGCCGUGCCAAGAGACCCGAACUUUCAGUAGGGUUCGCCCGGGGGUGGGGGCUUGCCACGCCAGGCGGAGUGGCGUGGAAGCAGUGCUCUACCGUGCCAAAAGACCCAAACUUUCAGUAGGUUUCCCCCGGGGGUGGGGGCUUGCUGUGCCAGGCGGAGUGGCGCGGUAGCAGUGCUCUGCCACGCCAAGCGAACCCAAGUUUCAGUAGGUUUCGCCCGCCCGGGGGGCGGGGCUUGCCGUGCCACUCCGCCUGGCAUGGCAGAAGUGCUCUGCCGCGCCAACUGCACAAAAGUUUCAGUAGGUUCGGUGGUUGGGGGCUCCCACGCCUAAAACAUUAACUGUUUUCUGGACUGCUUGACUUCCGCCGAACAUUUUUUGUUCUGAUUUUUCUUAACCUAGUUUCAACCAUGAAAUUAUUCCGUAUCUCCGUCCGUACGCGGUAGCCUACCAGUACGAACAUUUACAAAAAAGUACACGAAACACAAGUAUGUCACAAAGCAGUUCCAAUAGUCUUUUACACACGUGAAAUAAUACCAUUGUACGGACAGAAAUAAACCUAAUAUCCAACUUAGUCUUUUACACACGUGAUAGUUCCAAUAGUCUUGCACACACAUAUAACAUAAAUUGCACACGUAGUGCAUCACACUUGAGACAUGCAACGUUCAGUGUCGUGGCCGCCGCUCAACCGGAGGGCUAAAAGGAUCUCUUGGGCGACGCUCCCUCCUUGGAUGCGUAGGCAGCACAUUGGCGCUGCCAACGUCAGUGUGGUCCCGGGAACGACGCCGCCGGCAUGGCAUCCGAGUACGAGGUGCAGGUUCCUAUGGAAUAAUUGGGCACAAAGCAUAAAAUUUGUAUGACACUUCGGGAGUGAACAUUAACAAUCUAGAAUUGAAUUUGGGGAAACUUGUGAAUGUACCUGGCUGGACUCUCCCCGCGUCUGAGUCACAGGUGGAGCAUCGAUCAUGCCGGAAAUCUCCAGUUCCUCACCAUAUGUAGGGUCGUCAUCCUCAGAAUGCUCACCUUUAGAGUCCUCGCUUGCCUGAGGGGAUGCGGGUUCCUUGCCUCGUGAUCUCCUGCUAGGACCUGCAGCAGUGGAUGGUGUUGCAGCCCUGGGGGGAGUCGCCAAUGGAGUCCGACGUGAUCCCGAAGAAGUACCCUGGCCAUUGCCCCCGUGGUGCACAUCUGAGGACGACAUGCAGUUCAUCCUCAUGUCCAUUCGCCUGUAGCUUUUCCGAACCCUCUGCAACAUGUAAGCAGCAUAUGUUCACGACUAUGAUAUUGAUAGGGUUACAAAGGUAGUACAAGUAUAAGUGGAAAUUAGUUUGGGCUUCUACCUCUGCAAACUGACGAAGCAGACCAUCAUCGGAUCCGACGGCGUGCUCCAUAACCACACCCGUCUCGUUUGAGAGCCUUGCAAGUUGCUGUCCCUGUACCCAUAGUUUUCAUUCCAUGAGUGAUCAAUGUUACGAUACUAUGAUUACAAACCGAAAUCUUACCAUGUAGUCGUGGAGAGGUGCACGCUUAGGCUGUGUCCCAUAUCGUGUCACCGUGUCGUACACGUCAGCUAUGUCGGCGUCUGAGUCAGACGGUGCAUCCUCAAUGGGCACAUUACUCCAAGAUGGUUUCACUUUAGUUCUCGUCAAAGUACAGUACCAUCGUAUGUACUCAUUGUUUGGUCCUGGUCACCAGUGCGGUCCACCUUCAGGAUCUCAUCCCUGCUUAUUCUCCCACAUGACGAGGUACUGACCAUGCUUCACCCUCCAAUCAUUCUCCUUAUACCUCUUUCCGCAGUCGAUCCUGCAUCAGACGUUAGUGAAGUAUUAGUAUAAUAUGUUAAGUAUGUUAAUUGAAUAACCUCCAAUAGUUAUUUAUUCCUGCGUACCUGUGCAGCUGCUGCGAAGUCGAUAAUUCCAAAGGAGGGCACGGUUGCAUCCUCCCAAACUGCCGCAUCACCCUAUGUGGCAUAUGAAACUCUACGAUGUAGUACAAUAUCAUUGGCGUCGUGCACCUCCACAGCUCUUUGUCUCUGUAGCACGUCAGUGAAAAUACGAUCUGGCUUAGCUGCUCACGGUCGUACGGUUUCCAUUCAACCUUCAAAAAUUUUCACGCAAUACUUAUUUCAUCUAUCAUUAUACGGAAGUGAGCUUAACAAACUCUGGUGAGCAAAUUACCUGGUGCUGCGUGAGAACAUCAAACUCGUUUGUGUAGGCCAUGUAGCGCCUAUCAGGAUUGCCACGAACGGGCCGCACAUGCUUCCACACAUGAUAGAAUGUGGGAUGAGCAUCGUCUCGAUACCAUGGCUGAAAUUGCAAGUAAGUCCAAUUGGUCACAUGAUACAACAGUUUUCCGAACAUUAAAGCAGAAAAGGGAAUUAGCCGUUUUGACUUCCAUCGACAUGGAGACGGGAAGGUCGACCCACGGGCAUUCGCUCCCAAAUCCAAAUCUGCAGCAUAUAAGUGCACCCUCCAACAUUGGAAUCCCUCGCUGUGUGCCUGCAAGCCUCACAUAGCUGUCUGUACAGCCAGGCAAGGGCCACUGAGCCCCAACUGUAAAGGGCUAUGUUGUCCCAAUGCUGACCCAAAAUGGGGAGAACCAUCCAAGAUACUAUGUUUCCAGCUGCUGUAACGACCCUGGUUAAAUCCGCCGAGUUAAUCUCAAUCUAAGUCCCUGAUUCCUCUAUCUCAGCUCUUCCCGAGCAGGAGCGCUCCACUCCGGUUCUUAGUCCCGAAUCCUGAGAACCCAACCAACCCCGUCGGUUCCUUCUGAGUCCCCAAACGCAGUGCUCCUUUUAAUCUUGGAGCUGUGGAACAACCAAGACUGAUUGGUGGGCUCGUAAAUCUUUUCCCCGGAUCUCCCGAGGCAGAUGCACUCGAGCAGCCUGCGCCGCUUCAAAGCUUCUCCACCUCGUGGCUUGAUCUCUCUGACGCCCGCCGCUUCGCCCAGUCGCCGGUCGCGACAGAAUGGAUUUCCGCGCCCUCCUCCCCAAUCGCAGCGAAAGCCCCUCUGCAACCCUUUCCGCCUCGUCUCGCUCACGCCCUCGCCUGCCGCGCCAAGGUGCCCCGUCGCCGCCAUGGCAGAAGUUUGCCGCAGUCGCGUCAGACCGCCUCGCGCUCAUCAUCUUGCCGGAUUCCCAGCUGCAAGUCCCGAUGCCUUCCGGUUUUUCCGCUGCCUCUCCACAGUCGCGCCACCCACGAACUCGCUACGCAACGAUUCCUCCAUCGCCAACCCCGACUCCGGCCACGAGAGCUCCUUUUCCGUUUUGCCAGAACUGUGCCCCAGCCAACCGCUGCUUCGCGCUCGCCCGCACAGCCGCAGAUCGCCCUGUCUUUUCACCUGUUGCAACCUCACUUGUAGCGCCGUUCUCCCUGUCACACCAAUCAAAUCCGCCGCUCGACGACGCCCGCCUCCGCCAAAUCUCAACCCCGGCAAAACUGCGCCUGCGCCGCCUUAUCUCCAGUGCCCAAUGGCCGAAGAUGCUAUCUCUGAAGUCCUGUUCCGCCGCCCAUCGCUGCUGAAUCGCCGCCAUGGCAGCGCACUCCAUCCUUCUCUUCCGGUCUUCGUGCCACUCGAAAUCUCUCUCUUUCGCGCCACUAUAAAAGGGAACGCCAGAGUUCCACCGGAGUUCCUUCGCCUUUGCUGUUUCGCCGCCCCUACUCUGAGCGCAGUUGAGCACUUCCGCUGAAACUCUUGAGAGUUCCCCUCUCCGGUCAAUUCCGCUUCUCCCCAGUCCACCGAGCCGCCUGCUCCUCCGCACUGUGUUAGAGCUUCCUUGUUGCUCACAAGAAGCUCCGCCGCCGCCGGAGCACCGCCGAACAUCGCCGCCGCCCAAGCCUUAGUGCUUAAGUCCUUCCACCCAAGUCUGUUCCUUCCCGACCCCAAAGCUUCACCUAUAAACCGAAGGUAAGCUGCUGACCCCUUUUUCCGUCUCACCCGACCCUGCCUGUUUAGCCGACCCUUUUCCGCCUCGCCCGAGGACUCGGCUGUAUCCUUUUCCUUGACCUGAGGGUAUCUGUCUAAAAAAUCAGGAUUUCUCUGCGUUAAGUUUGAGGACCCCAAACACAGUUAUCCCUUAAAGUUUAAGGGUCAAAUCACAAAUCUAUUUUCCCAUCUGACCCCUUUUAUCCUGAUCUCCACCAACUACAGUGAACCUCCCCACCUUUUCUGUAACCUUGCUACAAGUGUCCGAGCUUAAACUGCAAGUGUUGUUGAAAUAACCGUCUAAAUACUAACUCCUGCAUUGCAUUCGUGUAGAGUUACACCUUGCUGACAGCAUCUACGAGCUACACCCGGCGCCCGAAGACGGAGCUAUAGCUGAGCUGCCAGUUCCAGAAGCCGAAGCCGCCCCAGCUGAAGAUCAGUUCUCCUCCCCUCCGCUUGAAGGCAAGCCCCGGAGCAUGAACCCCAAAUUCCUAAACUUGCACAUGCCUUCCUACUUAUGUUUGUGCAUUUGCGUAUAGGAGUUGUUUGCAACCAUAUAUGCAUGCCAUAGUUCCUGUGAUCUGAACACUGGUUUUGUUGGGCCGAGUAGUUGCUAUGCUUAAAUAGGAAUCGGUAAAAGCCGAGUGAUUCCUUGUCACUCGCGAGUUAUAGGAGUUGUUUGUUUUUCCCUUCUGUUACAACUAUAAGGACGAUGGACAGGGCAGGGUUUUGGUUAACUCUUUUGGUGGUCGGCUGAUCGCCCCGUCUAUCUAUGGAAUCUGUUAAGGCCCGAUAGUGGUGGUUUAGAUCUAUGUUUGCUUAGAGUAAGUUGCAAAUGUAGACUGGUUAAUGAACUUAGAAUUUGAGCUAAAAACUUGAAAAUAAGGACUCAACAUAGCCGCUUUUGGCAAACAAAACCCCUCAGCCAGAGAGCCUUGCAUGUCUAGGCGUGGUGGAGUAGUUCUUUUUCCACCGGUCGGUUAAGUCUUGUUGAGCUUAGAAGCUCAGCCUUGUUGUGGCUUCUCUUUUCAGGUGAAGUUGCAGCUUCCGAGCUCGCUGCUGGCACUUGGCCGCCCCAGCUCCCUCCGGGUUGGACGGUCGAGUGGGAUCCCUCCUCGGACGGUGGGGAAUGGGAUCAUUGAUGUCCCAACUAGCCUCACCAGGGAUGUCCGACCCGACGAGUAGCUUCCGCUUGUUUUAUCUUCUAUUGUUUCCUUUAGAACUUGUAAAACUCUGAUUUCAAACAAGUGUGUACAACUUAUAAUUUACUGAUGGACCUAUUGUAUCCUCUAGAACCACUCACCUUCGUGUGGGUUAUGCUAAACUCGGUCUUGUCAAGUGGUUAAAUCGGAUGAAAUCCGACGGCACCUCGAGUUAGCUCGAUUAAGGCAUGAGGAUCGCCUCUUAAGCGACUUAACUGUGCUUUAGUUGGGUUAAUCCGAGGUGGUUCUGCCACAGCUGCAUCUGGAAGGAGGAAUGUGCUGACAAAGUGCCAUAGCCAAACUCGAGCAUAUCGCUGCACAACCUCGUCAUCCCACCUAAGUGGUGAGUGCACCCUAGCCCUGAGUGGUUUCAAAUCCUACAAAACAUUAUAAGAUUAUUACAAAAAUGAGAAGUCAAUGCAUUUGAGAAUAACGGGCUACUAAAGUGGUAAGUAACACAAAUAUGAUAUAAAUGACAUUUCCAGUAUGAAAUUGUUUACAUUGUACACAAGCAAAUAGUAACGAUAGGCACAUCCUCAAUUUAUAAGAACAUUUCAUACAAAAAUCUUGCAAUUCUCAUCCUAAGGUAUGCAUUCAUCAGCAUAAAUUAGCAACCAUUGUUAAUAACUAAUGUAGUACCUCAUUUAGGUCCGCGAGGUGGUGGGCAUGGUGCUGCAAGUCGUAAGCAGACUCAAGAAGAGGGUACGGCGGGGCCGCCAUCCUAAAGAAACAACAAACAAGAUCGUUAGUAAAAAGCUUCAUUAUAUGAUAAGUACGGUAACUAUGAUAAUUUACUACUAUAAAAAAAGAUAAAAUGAUAACCAUGCAAAAUACGAGCAACGCGCAUACCCUAUUGUUCGAAGAAUGCGGCCUAGUACUGUUCGCCCUAGAUUUCGUGCCUUUAGAUUUUCUAUUGCGGCACGUGUAAUUCCUAAUGAUCUUGUGGCACUUCGAGCAACGAUUUUCCGACUUGUCCACAUCAAAAUCACUAGUGCCAUAAUCUGCAGAAAGCCUCCCUUCUGACACGUCCAUGUUGCCUGUGAAACGCUUCUUCUGCCUCCUUCCUACUUUAUUUCUCAUCAAAUUGAGGUUAGGCACGUAUCCUACCCCUUCAUAUGCCGGCCAUUGUGAUGGAUCAAGGUAAGGUUGAAAGCUUGAUUUCCAUAUUUUGACGGUGUGCUCCCUAGAGUACAACGGUGACAUGUACAAGGGGCUUUCAUAGUUAAGACCUCUUGCCUUGUAAGCUGUAAUGAAGUGUGAACAUGGAAGGUGCAACAAUUGAGGAAUGUUGCAGGUGCACAAAACUUCGUUCAGAUUCACUCUGUAGUGUCGGCCUCCAUGACUCUCACCCCCAAUGUUAGUCGUACCGUAACUUCUUAUAGAAUACACCAUCCUUUCUGGCCCGUACGGUUCUGCUAAGUGGUGCACGGAUCUAAGCUCAGCCUCUGAUCAUCUGCAACUUUCCCAAUUCUAUAGCCUUCAUCCAACAUUGCACGUGCCUUUUGCCAUCGGUCCACAAAGUAGGCGUUGCAUUUUUCGAAUGAGUAUUCAAUAAUUCCAGAGACGGGCCUACUUCAGAUGCCUUUGAAAACUGUGUUGAGUGAUUCCAAGUAGUUCGUGGUCAUAAUACCCCAACACAUCCCUCCCUCAUCGAAAGCCUGCGCCCAUUUAUCCUUGUCCUCAUUUCACCCUUCAACCAUUCUUUUGCGUCAUCGUUCAAGUCCUUCACUAGAUCUUCUAACUUAUCACUAAAUUCUCUGUCCAUAUGAACCUUGCAUAAUAUCUUCAAUUUUCCAAUCACACGGUUGCUCUUCUGCCGAUGCGACAUGUUGGCAGCAAAGUGCCUCGUGCACCACCUAUGCACAAGCGGUGGAAAACCAUCCAUGUGGUCCUUCGCACAAUUUAGGAGCCCAUGAUACCUAUCUGAUAUCAUACACACUAUCCGUGAAGGUCCAAGAACAUGUCGCCGAACAAGUUUCAUAAACCAUGACCAACUCUCAUUAUUCUCACUCUCGGCCAAGGAAAAAGCAAGAGGCACAAGCUGCUGUUCUAGAUCUACACCAACUGCCAUCAUUAAUGUACUCAUAUACUUGCUAGUCAAGAAUGUAUCGUCCACAAGUAUCACAGGACGGCAAUGUUGAAAUGCCUCACUACAUUGAGGGAAGCACCAAAAUACCCUUUGCAGUAUAUGCUUCAAAACUCCAUUGUCAGGAUGCAUCAAGCCACAUGAGUCGAUGCACCAUUUAACCCCGGGAUUGUAGUAGGUUAUAGCUGAGAGUACCCUAGGAACCAUGCCGUACGACUCCUUCCAGUCGCUCCAAAGUAGGGCAACAGCGUGUUGCUUCGCCUGCCAAGCCUUCGAAUACUUCACACGGUACCCACUAAAGACGAAGAUGGACUCCACGAGGGAUGACACCGAUGUCUCACUAUCUUUACGGAUAAUGCCUAGGAUACGCCACCCAAGGUACUUUGCUGUGCACUAUACAUGCUCUCGCUUUGGCUGUGAUGACCGACAAGUAUGCGGUUGCACAACAUUUGAAAUCCUCCAUUGUCCGGUGCUUGAUAUUAGCCGACACCAUACACGCCAAUGGCAUCCUUGCUUGCACAUCACAUUGUAUCUUAAGUUCUUGUCAGAGUGAACUACGCUAAAAGGUCUAUGUAACCUCACUGCAUAGUCAACCAAGAAAAACUUAAGCUCCUCAAGACUAUUGAACUUCAUCCCCUUCUUAAUCACUGGACUCUCACCAACGGACGUCCCUUCGGCAUUCACCAUACUAGAUUCACAUAUUGCUUUGUGGACCAUACUGAUGUCCUUAUCAUUGGGAACGGAUGGCAGUUCUACAUCAUGUUCUUUUAACAACCGCAACUCGUUCUGGGUGUAAGAAAAACAAUCAUCCAUACGACGAAUGCCUUCUACAUCAUGCACGGUUGUGGUGUCAAAUUGCGGUUCAUCCUCUUCAUUUUCUACCCCGUCGUCCUCAUAUUCAUGCCCACCACUCUCAAAUAGUGAUUCCUCCUCUACCUCCACACCUACUACCCCAUCUUCCUCGAAUUCACAAUCUUCGGAACCCAUAGAGACAUUAUCAACAUCUAUGUUUGCUUCAUCUCUCCCAAAAAUGUUAUUGGGAAAAUCAUCAUUGGCAAUAGCCAAGUCAAAAUCAUGUUCUGUUUCACCUAACACGUGAUGCAGCAUUUCUGACUCUUGGGUACCAUUAUGGUUCACUACCGCCACUUCCUCCCUCAUGACAACAUUUGGGCUAGGCAUACAAACAAUUUCGACUAUAACCUCCAAACAUGCAACAUUAGCUUCAUGCACUACAUCCUUAUAGUGCUUCCAAUUCGCAUCGGAUGCUAACUUCAUGAGAACAUAAUGAGCUCUAGCUUUCCCACAAUCAAAACGACCUCUCAAACUGAUCUCAUCCACUCUACAUCCAUACUUCCUCAUUACACGGUCAACUAAAUCACUAAAACUUGGAGGACCCUCGAAGAAUUCAAUCGACUCAUUCAUAUUCUCUAACUCCCCAUUUUGUUUCACAACACCACCAUCAAAAAAUCGAACUAAACAAUCCAUCUACAAAAUACAAAUAUUUCACCAUGUCAUAUACACUACACAUUGCACAUAUUCGACAUAUCAACUAGACACAUUACACAUACUGGACAAAUUGCAAACAAAAAAUAUAUAUGUCAUAUCAACUACACAAUUCAAUGAAUAUAUACCUAAAUCGACAAGUUCUAGACGUCAAUAUUGCGGGCAGAGACUCAAUUGCGUAUGAACUACGUAUCAUCUAACACAAAACACCAUUGCAUUUCAUUCAAAAUUGAAAUCAUCAACCUAACCCUAAGUAACCUAAACAUCCUUCGAUCUACCAAAUGCAACGGUAAAACACGAGAAAAAGUAGGGGAAUACCUUCCACACGAAGCAGGGACCGAUUUCCACUACUUUCCCCUACCGAAUCGCCGGAUUUUGGGUGGAUUUGGGGGUGGGGCGGUGGGGGGCGGCGCAGGAACUUCGGGCUCGGGCGGAUCUGGAGGAAGAAGGAGGGAGGGAGGAGGAAGGGAGCCGGCGCGUGGCUGUAGAGUAGCCCCUGCCACGCCAGGCGGGCUGGCGUGGCGAGUGCCCGCCCAUGUCAGCGCCCACCUGGCGCGGCGAGUCACUGCGCCAGCGUGGCAGGGGCCCGCUGCGCCAGUGCAUGUGGCACGGCAGAGGCUGCCUGCCGCGCUAGGCGGUCUGGCACGGCCAAAAGGGUUAUAUGCACAAAUAAAGUCCCGCUGAGGUUAUUUUUAAAAUUAAAUAAAAAAAGGUUAAAAAAAAAUUCAGGCGGGGAGCCCUCCCCGACCAGGCCCACAUCUGAUCAAGACGAUCACGGUGAUUCUUGGAUGCCGGUGGCCAGAAGUUGUGCUGCCUCCACUCUGGGGAGUGCAUUCCGGCCUCGCAAUACUGCACCAACGGCACCAGCGUCACCAGAGGCGCCAUCAUUGCUAACUGGCAGCCCCGCGGCCGCCAAGGCGAAGACGGCGGCUUUCCUCGCCUCUGUACGUUUGGCGCUUCAAGCGCCAUUAGCUGCAGGGCCACCACAGCAUGUCAUCCCAGCCACGAUGGCGCAGACGCCAAGGUGCAGCAAAAGGCUCGCCGCACAGCCACUGAACAUGGCAAUUAGAGCGUCCAAAAAAGGUGAAGUGCUGGCGAUGAAGAAGCUGGGAAUUAUAACCCACGAUCAUGAAGCCGGCCAAGUCACUGACAAGGAAUUUGACAAAUUCCUAGUGACAACCAUGCAGCCGUGCCACUUCGCCGCUCUCAGGGACAUCUUCUCCACUGCCAACAACCUAACUGAUGAGGAGCUCCUGCAGAUCACCAGCCAGGCGGGCAGCGGCAUGCAGCACCGCUUGAACGCGCACGGCUCCCUUACCUACGGUUGUAAAGUGUCAUGGAUCCGGACAACCAUAACUUGCUAGUUUGGAAUGUCCGUGGGUUGAACGCACCAAGCCGUCGAGAUUCCUUACAAGCGAUGGUGUGCGACGCGAAUGUUUCUGUUGUAGUUUCCAAGAGACCAAGCUCCAUGUAAUCUCCCAAUACCUUGUUUGUGAAAUGAAAUGCUCAUCCACAGGUUCACGAGCUUCGCCUACCCUUUUGUCAAUCGGAGCUAGCGGAGGCAUUCUGGUCGCCUGUAGAGGACCUGAGCUCAGCUUCACUGCAUUGCACGUUGGCCGCUUCUCCAUCACGGUCACCAUCGCCAUGGGCACGCCGUCGGAGCACUGGUGCCUCACCGCCAUUUAUGGGCCACAACCAGACGUGGACAAACUUGAGUUCCUCGACGAACUCCGUUCCAUCCAGAGCGUAGUCACACCACAGUGGAUGAUUGCCGAAGAUUUUAACCUCAUUCUCGACACCUCAGAUAAGAACAAAGACAAUAUAAAUCAUAGAAACCUAGGAAGUUUCUGGAGGUUCGUUGAUGAUCUGCAACUCAAGGAUAUGUACCUCCAUGGCUAUCGCUACACGUGGAGCAACGAGAGAGCGGACCACGAGUUUCAGGUCAGCCAACGGUUGGUACCUUUCAAGAAUUGGGUUGCUUGAUCUUGGGUGUGUCUUCAACCUUCCCCGAGAAAACGAUUUUAUGGCAAUGUCCCCGGAAUCCCCUCCCUUUGGCCGUCACUUCAGGCACCAUCCCUCCACCUUCCCGGUGUUCUCCGCCACAACCAUUGCCGACCUCUCUACCUCUUUGUUCCCAAGUUUCCUGGAAGCAUUUGCAAUCUGUUCCUUGUGAAGUCUCAGCUCUCCACAAACACUCUACUACUGCACCCCCAUUUCGGGCACUCCGCCUUUAGCUAUAGUGUUGCCUGAAGAUUCCCCAAUGGCGUAUAAGCUGGUUGAUCCUACUCCUUUUAUGCCGCGGGGAUGUCAUCGGCAAGUGGUGGGCUUUAGAAAGCCAACGUCUUGGGUGGUGCUUGGAGGAGCACGCAGGAACCAAAGUGACGUCGCCAUUGCCUACAUUGAUCUGCUCCCGCAGCAGCAGGUAUCUUUUCAAUCCAUCCGAGAGAUGCUGGAUGAUUUCCUAACUAAUCGGCGCAGAGUUGGUAUACACUCCAUCUAGCCUUGCCCCUAUGGUCAAGCAUAUGUGCGCUUUCAGUUUGUUCAUGACAAGGAUUUCUUGAUUGGGGGUGGGCCACAUGAAUAUGGUCAUUAUAGCAUAACUUUUUCUGAUCACAAUAAAGGGUGGAAUAAUAGAGUUUCAACUAUGAAUUGUGAAGCUUGGAUUAUGCUUCUUGGUUUUAACAUUGAUUAUUGGACGAAAUUUUACAUUGAGAAAGUUGUUUCUGAUUUUGGAAGAUUAAUGGUAUGGGAGGAGGAUCCUCAUAAUCUGGCCAGGAUUGUAGCUAAAGUUAGAGUAGUGGAUCUAUCUGAAAUUCCUUGUGUUGACGCCAGAUUUCGUCACCAGUAGAAUCGGCGCCAAGAAGAAAGGAAAUUGGAGAAGCACAGUUGGGAAUCGGCCAAAUGGUGCUACAGUGCGAAAUCGGCUGGCGACUUUUGUCUCGCUUUAGGACGAAUGCACCAGAGUCUCAAUCGGUAAUCUUUUGCCGAUGAGAAAUCGGCCGAUUAGGAGGGUGGAUUAAUUGGGCCUGUAUGGGCUUGGAAAGGGAUAGAAGGAUAAGGUGGAGGUCAGCCCACGAAGCGUGGAGUAACUAACCUAGCACAAAUUGUGUUUGUAGAUAUUCGUUUUCUGUUUGAAUUAGAGAUAGGAUUCUAGUCGGUUAAGGAAUUGUUUGUACGGGGCUAUAAAUAGCUACCUUUGUAAAUCUGUAAUCAUCAACCAAUCAAUACAACCAGCUACUUUUUCUUCGUACUUACUUUCGAGCAGGCGACUUCGCCAUUACUUUUCUCUUCUCACGAGUUCGUGCGGGUUGGCAGGGCUGCAUCAUCCUGAUCUCCGGCCGAUUCUGUAAGUUCCGUUUCUCAAGUAAUAUCUAAGCUUUAACUCCGGGCGUAUCGCUGUUGUUUCGUUUAGAUUUAUUCACUAGUUAUCGAUAUUUGCUAGAUUCAUAGGUUUUUACCUGUUUUUCUAGUUUCUUAUCACCAAUUAUCCAGCUAGGAAUCGGUAGUAUCGGCUUUCUUUAUUUUCUAUCGUUAGAUUCAUCUGUUGCCGAUUAGAUCUGCUUCUAGUGUUGUUAUCACAAGCUUUGUACCGAUCACUUUAGCAAUUUCCUGUCUACAAAGCUAUAGAGAUCAGGCUGUCUUAUAGCCGAUUUCCUUAUCACAGUGAAUCGGCCGAUUCGCCGAUAAACUCUCUCGAUCGGAAACUUAGCCGAUCGUAAUUUCUGGACCUAACACGUGUUCUUCCUUGCCAAUCAACAGGUCAGAUUGGCUGGCACGCCGCGUGAACCGCACCAGGGCAUUCACCCGAAUAGGAGCUAAGCAGAUUCUCCCGGGUCGUGUGUCGGUUGCUGGGAUUCGGUUGACCGAUUUCUAGCGCCAACACACUUUUGGCACGCCCGGUGGGACAAAUACAACCGCCGUCAUGUCGAAAGCUGCUGAAGUCUCUGAAGAUAACAUCAUCGAGGUGACGGAAGAAGAUCUAAAGGACGACCAAAAGGAAGAUCUGAACAAGUAUAUGGAACAAGUCCGGAAAACUUGCUUGAAAUCUUUCAGCCGUUCCAGGAGCGGGGAGACUGUUAAGAAAACUCCUUUCCCUACUCCCCGACAGAUCACAAUUUCUGAGGAUUCGGAUAAAAUGUCCGAUAUGAUUCAACAAUCUAUUCAUCACGCCUUCAUCGAUCAGUCCCCGGUAAUCUCAAACAUGGUGCACAACGCCGUUGUUAACUCCUUCACCGGGGGCAUACCUCAAGGGUACAGAGGACCUACAUAUUUUCAGCCGAUCCCACCAAAUCAAACUUACCCAUAUUCGGCUUCACAGCCGAUUCAAUUUUCUGUUGGGAGUUCAGGCGCAUCUGCAUCAUCAACUCCGCUGGGAUAUGGCUCCAUCCAGAUGUCCUCUGCACCGUUCCCUCCAGUCAGCCCUUCACCCUGGGGGGCACCUUUAAACACGGCCGGUCUGAAUCAAUCGGCCAGUCAAGGAAACCCUCCGUUCCAGGCACCCUCCCAAGCAGCCAUCCGGCCAACCACACCACCAUACCAGCCUGUCGCUCCGGAGGUCAACAAGACAGCAGAGCUCAUGCUAUACGAUGAAACGAGUGGUUCAUUCAAACAGCCAACCUUUACUACACCGCCGGCUUAUACUCAGAUACCACCUUUUCAUCAGUCUCCUUUUAUUCAGCCUCCGAUUUAUCAGCACGUGCCGAUACCGCAGCCAACUAUUCCCAAGCAACAACCAGAUUGGUCGGCGCAAAUUGCGGAGGUGAUGCAAGAACAAUUCGGCUUGAAGCCGAAAAUGCAAACUUAUACCUAUAGAACACCAUACCCAUCUACAUAUGACUUGUUGCCGUUCCCCCAUCGGUACAAAGUUCCUGAUUUUACCAAAUUUUCGGGGAUAGACAAUACUUCGACCGUGGAGCACAUGAAUAGGUUCAUCAUCCAAUGCGGAGAAGCAGCUACGCAAGAUGCCCUACGAGUACGAUUGUUCUCGUCAUCUCUGUCCGGAUCGGCCUUCCAAUGGUUCACGACUUUGCCACCAAACUCGAUUAUCACAUGGGCCGAUUUAGAAAGACAGUUCCACAAGUACUUCUAUGCUGGGGUCCAUGAGAUGAAGCUGUCCGAUUUGACUAGCCUCCGGCAAAGAAGUGAUGAGCCAAUACCCUCGUAUAUACAGAGGUUUCGGGAAAUCAGAAACAAAUGCUACUCCCUAGCUCUAACCGAUGCGCAGUUGGCCGAUAUAGCUUUCCAAGGCCUUCUGCCACACAUUAAAGAGAAAUAUGCUUCACAAGAGUUCGAGAGCCUGAGCCAGAUUGUUCACCGAUUGUCCGGACAGGAGGUGCGUCCGUUCGAUCCGCGGAGGAAUUUCCAGAAGAAAGUGGCAUUCCUGGAAGAAUUAGAGGAUGAGGAAGAUGUCGAAAUCGGACUUGCGGAUUGGAUCAAGGGAAAGAAGCUGAUAUCAUGCCCAUUCGGCAAAAAGGAGCCGGAAGCAUUCGGUUUUGAUACAACUAAGGCCGAUAAAAUCUUCGAUCUUCUCCUCCAAGAAGGGCAGAUUAAACUCUCGCCUUACCAUACAAUACCCUCUGCCGAACAAUUAAAAAAGAUGAAGUAUUGCAAGUGGCACAAUGCCACAUCACAUAAUACCAACGAGUGCAAGAUCUUCAGGCAACAGAUACAGUCGGCCAUUGAGCAAGGCAGACUCAAAUUUGAAGUGCCGGUGAAAUCGGCCCAACCAAUGAAGAUCGACCAGCACCCCUUUCCUACCAACAUGGUUGAUACGGGAAAAAAUUCUCUCCAAACAAAAGUGCUGACAUCCGAAUCGGCCAAAAAGAGUGGCUCUGUCGAUCCCAGAAAUCAAGCUACGCCUGAAGAUGUCAAAGGGAAACGGCGAAUGGAGGACGAUGAUGGUGAGUCAGAUGGACCACGUAUUACUUCCCAGUUCCUGCUCCAAAAGUACCAACGCCAACAUGAACGCUCAAGGUCCCGAGAAGAAGCGAUGCGUCGGCACGAGGAGCACUGGAGAUGCCCAUUCUUCAUUCAUUGUUGGGAAAAUAACCUCAGGCUACCUUCGGCCGAUACUUGCCCAGAGUGCAACGGUCCCUAUCGAGGCAAUCGACCAUUCAACAGGUCUCGCUCCAGGGAUGGAAGGCCAGAACCGAUCAGCAGGAAUUGGCGCAAUCAAGAUGACCAGCGCCCUCCCGUGCGUGAUCGGCUGGGGGGCAGAAGUGACCGAUAUGAUCGGUCGGAAGAUAGACGCCAUGAUAGGCAGGGGGGCAGGGCUGAUCGACAUGAUCAGUCAAAUAACAAAGCCAGCGUUCACAGCCGGCUCGAAGACAUGGCCGAUGCUCGGGUGACGGAUGAGAACCCAUUAGGGCGCGAACCGGAGUGGGAACGUGCCAGGACAGAAGGGAGGCCAAUAAACCCCAGGUGGUGCCCCGACGGUUUGACCAAGUCACAAAAACGGAGAAUCCAACGUCUCCGCCAAUGGGAACAGCAAGAAGAAGAAAGAGCGACGGACAAGAAGGAAGGGAGACCUCGGGUGUGGCGCCCCAAAAGAAACGAUAAGGGAAACAACGAGUCGGCGGGUGAUGAAUCGGCGGCCGAGAUCGGCAUGGUCUUCAUACUGCCGAUAGAAUUUAUGACCCCCGCCGAUCAACAGGACGUAUCGGCGAUAGAAGGACAGACAACACGAUUGGCUUUAGAGCCAAUGAUGGCCACGUUCGAAAAGCCCGAAGACGACGAACGACAACAUAUGAAAGCAUUGUUCCUUAAAGGGCACGUCGACGGUCGCCCCCUCACUAGAUUGAUGGUCGACGGAGGAGCUGCUGUCAAUAUCAUGCCGUACGCCGUACUCCGGAAGCUGGGCAAAAGCGACGACGACCUGACCAGGACGGACAUGAUGCUCAAGGAUUUCGAAGGCAAGGUGUCAAACGCUCGCGGUGCUCUCUGCGUCGACCUCACCAUCGGCAGUAAGACCCUUCCUACCACGCUUUUCGUUAUUAAUGGGAAGGGAUCCUACAACAUGCUUCUUGGCCGAGACUGGAUACACGCAAACUGCUGCAUCCCGUCAACUAUGCAUCAGUGCCUUGUACAAUGGGUCCGCGAUAACAUCGAGGUGGUCAAAGCCGACUCCGCGUACAGCAUUGCAGCAGCCGACACGCAGCAGUGGAGCUGCGAGACCGUCAGGUGCAUAUCAGGUAGGGUGUGGGAGACCGAUUUCCUGAAGGUCACCGAUUUUGGCCUACAGCCGAUCCGAGCAGUCGGCUCCGAAGACACAUAAUAGAUGGAUCAGUUCGCCCGAGAAGAUGGGAAGCUGGGGCACGGAUUCACGUCGGCCGAUUCAUUAGAGAUGAUAGACUUAGGUGAUGGAACCAAACCAAGGCCGACUUUCAUUAGUGCAAAUUUAGACAAGGAAUACAAGUGUAAAUUGACAAAUUUGUUAAGGGAAUUCAAGGAUUGUUUUGCUUGGGAGUAUCACGAAAUGCCUGGUUUAGACCGAUCUAUUGUUGAACAUCGGCUACCCAUAAAACCAGGGUAUCGGCCGUACCAACAACCCGCACAGCGUUGCAAUCCUAAAAUUUUACCAGACAUAAAACCUGAAAUAACUCGGCUAAUCGAAGUGAAAUUUAUUCGGCAAUGUCGGUAUGCCGAGUGGAUUUCCAACAUCGUGCCAGUAUACAAGAAAAAUGGGAAGUUACGCGUUUGCGUUGAUUUCAGGAAUCUUAAUCAGGCCACACCGAUGGAUGGCUACCCCAUGCCUACGGCCGAUGUACUGAUCGACGCCGCCGCGGGACAUAAAAUUAUUAGCUUCAUGGACGGAAACGCCGGAUACAAUCAAAUACUUAUGGCCGAAGAGGACAUACCCAAAACGGCCUUCAGAUGUCCAGGCCAUCUUGGUUUAUUCGAGUGGGUAGUGAUGACUUUCGGCUUGAAGAAUGCUGGCGCUACAUAUCAGAGAGCUAUGAAUUACAUUUUUCACAAACUCAUUGGCCUCUUGGUGGAAAUCUACAUCGACGAUGUUGUGGUCAAGUCCAAAAGCCAUGAGGAACAUCUGGCUGAUUUGCGAAAGGUGCUAGAGUGUACCAAAAAGCACGGUCUUAAGAUGAAUCCCAACAAAUGCGCUUUCGGCGUAUCCGCCGGACAGUUCUUAGGAUUCAUGGUUCACGAACGAGGAAUAGAAGUCAAUCAGAAGACCAUAGCGGCCAUCAACAAAGUCGUGGCCCCACAGAACAAAACUGAGCUACAGUCUCUAAUUGGCAAGGUAAACUUCAUCAGAAGAUUUAUAUCUAAUCUAUCUGGACGGAUUCAAGCGUUCACGCCACUUCUGAAGUUGAAGCCAGACCAAGAAUUUAUAUGGGGAGAAGAACAGCGCAAAGCGUUAGAAGAUAUCAAGCGAUACUUGGUCUCACCGCCAGUCUUGGUUCCCCCUCAAACUGGUAAGCUGUUUAAACUGUAUUUAUCAGCCGAUGAAAAAGCUAUUGGGUCGGCUCUAGUCCAAGAGUUUGAAGGCAAAGAGCGGGUAAUUUAUUACGUCAGUAGAAGACUCCUGGAUGCCGAAACAAGAUAUCCUCCGGUGGAGCGUUUGUGCUUGUGUCUUUACUUCUCGUGCACCAAACUCAGGCACUAUCUACUGUCGGCAGAAUGUGUAGUCGUAUGCAAAGAUGACGUAGUAAAAUACAUGCUAUCACUACCGAUAUUGAAAGGACGAAUCGGUAAAUGGAUCUUAGCUUUAUCAGAAUUUGACCUGCGGUAUGAAUCGGCAAAAGCCGUCAAGGGUCAAGUCAUGGCCGAUUUCGUCGCCCAGCACUGUGGACCGGAGAUCGCCCUCGUGGAACUGGCGCCUUGGCAAUUAUUUUUGACGGGUCAUCAUGCGGGGUCGGAUCAGGAAUCGGCAUCGUUCUCAUAUCGCCUCGGGGGGCAAGCUAUGAUUUUUCUCUGCCGAUAGAAACCGCCGCCACUAACAAUCAAGCGGAGUACAGAGCGGUAUUAAAAGGCUUACAAUUAUUGAGAGAAGUCAAGGCCGAUUCUGUUGAGAUCUUCGGAGAUUCUAUGCUGAUUGUGGAUCAACUAACUGGAAGGGCUGAGUGCAAAGAUGACGUAUUAAGAAUUUAUCACGAAGAUUGCUUACAGCUUUUAAAAGGAUUCAGAUCGGCAGUAAUCGAGCAUGUUCCAAGAGACCGCAACGAAGAAGCAAACAAACUCGCCCAGCACGCAUCUGGGUAUCGGCCGAUUCUGGGCGCUAUGGCCUUAGAACUUGCAGCCGACGACUGGCGUAAAGAAAUUGCCCAUUACCUGAAGGAUCCGUCUCAAAAGGUGGAGCGACGAGUACGCUUUCAUGCCACCAAAUACGUACUGCUCGAAGAUGAUCUGUUCUACCGAACGGUCGACGGAGUCCUUCUUAAAUGCCUUGGGACAGAAGAAGCCAAGACUCUAAUGGGAGAAAUCCAUGAAGGGGUAUGUGGAGCACACCAGUCGGCACAUAAGAUGAAGUGGAUGAUCAGGAACAACGGGUACUAUUGGCCUACAAUCCUUGAAGAUUGUUUCAAAUAUUAUAAAGGUUGUCAGGAGUGUCAAAAGUUUGGAAACGUCCAACGUGCACCCGCAUCAGCCAUGAAUCCCAUCAUCAAACCAUGGCCGUUCAGGGGAUGGGGAAUAGACCUUAUCGGCCAAAUUUACCCACCGUCAAGCAAGGGGCACAAAUUUAUUCUGGUGGCUACAGAUUACUUCACCAAAUGGGUAGAGGCAAUCCCGUUGAGAGCCGUGACAUCGGCUAUCAUGGCCGACUUCGUAAGAGACCACAUCGUCUACCGAUUCGGCAUUCCUCAGACUAUAACAACCGAUCAAGGAACAAUGUUCACAUCGGGGGAAUUUGAGGAAUUUACAACCGAUAUGGGCAUCAAAUUGUUAAAUUCUUCUCCGUAUUACGCCCAGGCCAAUGGUCAAGCAGAAUCCUCCAACAAAGGAAUAAUCAAGUUGAUCAAAAGGAAAAUUGAAGAAAAUUCGAAGAAGUGGCACCUAUGUUUGACUGAGGCCCUGUGGGCAUACAGGAUGGCUUGUCAUGGGGCUACUAAGUUGUCUCCCUAUCAGUUGGUGUAUGGUCACGAUGCAGUACUACCAUGGGAGUCGAGGGCAGGAUCGAGGCGUAUUUCGCUCCAAGACCAGUUAUCGGCCGAUGAUUACUCAUCACUUAUGAAAAGGGAACUUGACGAUUUGGCUAGCCAACGAUUGAGGGCCCUGAUAAGCAUUCAAGAAAAUAAGAAGAGAGUAGCCAGGUGGUACGAUAAGAAGGUCAAAGUCAAACAGUUUUCCCCCGGAGACUUGGUAUGGAAGUUAGUACUGCCGAUCGGGUCGAAAGAUCCUAAAUUCGGAAAAUGGUCCCCUACCUGGGAAGGGCCGUAUAAAAUCGGCAGAUGCGCUCCAGGAAAUGCUUACAUUUUAGAAACAAUAGAAGGAGAAGAGUUUACUAGAGCUCUAAAUGGAAGGUACUUAAAAAGAUAUUACCCUAGUAUAUGGGUCGGAGCGUAAGAAAUCGACCGUAACACAAUCACACGUAGCUGAUACAAAUCGGUUCAAAAUACAUAAGUCGAUCGGAUCGGCCGAUUACAUUCAUUCGGUACGGGCGACGGAUUACAUGGCCGACAAAACAUUAGUCGCCCUUAGAACAAAAAAAUACAAAAAACAAACUAAUUGUUCUUCUUCUGGGAUGCCUUCCCAUUCCGCUCCAACUCGUUCACAGCACGGAGGCGCGAGGCCUCUGCCGCCGCAAGGAUGACUGGCCGAGGAAGCAGACGGGCCCUAUCAGUGGAAGGCCGCUGGCCGCCGUUCCUCUCCAUGAAGUCCAGGAUCGUGCGGGCUGCCGAAGUGACGUCAUCUCCAGGUGCGUCACGACGACGACCCCUCGUGGUUGGAGAUCGGCGAUGGCCUUCACUUACCACGGAAUCCAAGACCGCACAGGCCUCUGCAGUAAUGUGUUCUUGAAGCUCCUCUCGGUGAGCCAGAAUUAGAGCCUUGUCCUCCGGGGUCAAUGGAUCUUCAGAGUGGAUGCACUCGAUGGCGCGCACGAGCUCCGGACUGAGGCGUUGGGGCUGAAACAAAGAAGGAAUAAGGCGAAACAUUCGUUUCCUAAGAUCUAAGAGGGAAAAGUCAGGGCUUCACCUGAUUAACAGAAGAAGAGGACGAUGAAGCCAUGAUGAAACAGUUGCGCCGAUGAGAAGAAGAAGAAAAGUAAAAUGAGAGCCGAGUUGAUACUAUCGGGAGUAGGCGCCGAGGUCGAUAUUUAUGGAGAAAAAUGCGUGGAAAUCUGGUGAGGCCACGUCCCAUCGGUAAUAAGGAAGGCAGUAAAUAGAGAAGGCGUCGCGAGGGACGGUCAAAGAAGAUAGUAAAUGUUCGUACAAAACGGUCAGUGUGUUACAGAUUACCCAAAAGGGUAUCGAUAGCCGUGAUGGCCCGGCGCCGGAUCUGAUCGGCAGAGUCAAGAACCCGUUGGUCUUCUUCUGUCGAUCCAGGGACCUCCGAUGCGAUGCGGUGGAGUCUCAGGGCCUCAUGAGCAAAACGCUGCCUCUCCCGUGUCAAAUCGGCAAUAGCAGAGGGCAGCUCUUGGAGUUUGUUCUCUUCGGCACUGAUUGCUUUAGUCACUUGCUCCAUCUCUUUGGCGAGCUCCGCCCUUCGACGUUUGAGGCGGUGUAUCUCACCGAUGAUCGUCGGGCGGGAGUCUUCUAGAACAUGGAUACGCCGAUGCGCUUCUUGGGCCUGACGCUUGAAAGCAUUUUCAUCUUCACGAGUUUUGGCCAGUUUUGCGCGAUCGGCCAUAUGACGAAGGGCCCUAAAGACUGGGAUCCUCAUGGAUUCGAUGAAGGCCGUCGGCGCCAAGGCCUCCUCCGCCUCCUCUGGUACUCGCCCGCUGACGUCACCGAAGAGUUGCCGAAUCGGUGAAGCAUCUUCUACUAAUCGGCCGAUGUCCCCUUGGAGGAGGGAUCGGAUGGUGAAAAGUUUAGCUCGAACGUCAUCAGGAACGGAGCUCAGGGCGACUUGGCGGGAAGCGACUUCUUCGUCAUCAGAAAGUGCAACCGCGAAGGAAAAGAGGCUGUUAUCGGGAGAAUCUUGUUCCUGAAGAAAAUGAAGAAAAAGGGUGAGUCGGCGGAGAAUGAGAACAAAUCGGCUAGUUGAAAGCCGAAUUAGAAACUUACCAUUUUGAAGCGAAUUUCCUCAUGUUGCACUUGUAAAGCCGUCGUGCUUUGCUCAGGAGCCUACGCCGUGGGUUCAUCAGAUGAGGAAGAUUCCACGAUAAUCGGCGCAGUGCUUGGACCAGCUCCCUAAGAAGAGAUCGGUGGUCGAGGAGCGCUCGGGAUGCCGAUGGCCUGUGUCAGAGGAUCGAUCAAGUACAUUACGCAAAUACCCGAAGGAAAUCCGUGAGAUAAGUACUAUACCUCAAUGGAUGAGGGCGGGGGCGCGUUGGUGUCCGGCUGAGUUGUCGUCGAUUGUGGUAUUUCCAUAGGGGUGCUCUGAGAAGUACAAGGAGAGUUAAUAUCAAGAUGGCAAUCGGAGAUAGUAAAACUCGGGCUUACCUGUAUAGCUUCCAACAAUAAUGAUGCGGCAGCCACCCCGGCUUGUGUGAUGGCUUGAGUAUCGGCACUUUGAGUGACCAGGGAAGGCGGUGCGGUCAAAGUUUCUACCGAUACAAGCACAGGAGGAUCCGCCGAUUCCGUGCGAGCCCUGACUCGGCGACUGGUCUUUUUAGUGGUUCUCUUAUGAACUUGCUUUGAUCGGCCGGCAAUCACGUCAACAGACGGGGCGUUAUAGCCGAUGAGAGGGUAGGUGGUAUAUGGAUUGCUCUCUAUCAACCGUCCGCUGCGGCUGUGCGUUGGAGGGGUCCGAUUCCCGGCCUAAAGAAACAAUGAAAUCAUUAGUGCUCAAUCAUGUUGGGAAGAAUAAAAAUCGGCGAUGAGAAAUACCUCGGCGUUUGGAUCAAUGUUGGCCGGGUCUAGAAGGUUGCAGUAUGCCGUUGCAGAAUAGAAAUUGCUUCCAUUCGGCCCACCAAAGUUUGAACGGCUGGACGGCAAAUGGAAAUAAUAGCCAGUCAUUCAAGUUAAUCGUACUGGAGUCCGGAAUUCGGUCUCGCAACCGACAGUAAUCCAGCCCAGAUGUGAGCACAUCUCUGAACUUGAUUCGGCCAGCAAAAUACACUUGUAUCGGCAGUUGACCCAUGCCGAAUUGUCGUGCUGCAGUAGAUGGGUUGUAGAAUUCGUAUGUAGGGGCAUCCUUCCCUAAAAAGAAGUUGGCUGGUAGGAGUCCUGGUUUGAUCAAUCCUUCAUAAAGAUCCUCAUCAAACCGGCCAGAAGUCGAAUCGAAGCAGGUGGGGAGCUCAAAGACUGGGUUGUCUCGCUGGUACGGGAACCAAAUGGAUGCGUCUUCAUUAAAUCCAUUAUAAAAGCACCGAAAGUACUCGGCUACCUUUGUAGCAGAAUACGCACAACCUGGAAAAGCUGACGCCGCUUCACCAAAGGACAUGCAUCGGCGACGCUCGGUGGGGUCCUCCGCCGAUUCGAUAUUGGGAAACGUCAUAUGGUCCACCAGAUGCCGGGUGAUUCUGCUCAUGUAAAGGUUCAACCAUAGAUUGACAAACCACCAAGGCCCGCCUGGAUUGCCGAUCGGUUCUCCCUUGGAAAGUCUUGUGCCGAUUUGAUGAAGCAUGUGGUACACAGCACCCAGUAGAUGUUUCCCGAGAGGAAUAUGGUCCCCUCUGGACAGUGCUUCAGCUAAGGGUUGGGUGUUGGUUGUUGGGCCGGCCGCUCUUCCACAAAAGAAGUGUUUUUCUAGCCACAUCAUCAGGAAAGCUGUGUGCUCCCUGUUCUCGACGGUACCGGUCUUCUUGUUACUUUUGAUGAAGCCUUUCCAGCCGCCGAUUCCCCUUGUGUCCAGCCGAUGUGACGUUGUAGUCAGAAGGCGGAAGGGUGUGUCAGAGGAAGAUAUGUCCAGGCCGGUCAAGAGGAUCACAUCGGCCAGUGUGGGGGUCAUAGGACCGUGUCCAAAUAAGAACGCAUUAAGUGCGUCAGACCAAAAAUAAGAAGCCGCCAUCACUAACGGCUCAUUUUUCUCCAUUUGAGAUAGGGAGAGGUUGAUGCACUGGCCGAUUUUGAGCUCUUCCCACGAGACGCUCUUUGACGUGGCCACCCAUUGGUACCAUUCCCUCCAACCUGGGGUUUCAUUCGGCCAGGAUCUGAAAGUACCCACCCAUUGAUCUAAGUUCAUAUCGGAUCGUUUGAAGGGUAUCCGAUCAGUUUCCAAAUUUAUAAGAUCUAUCGGAUCUGGGUCUCCCAUAGGACCGAGGCAAACAAGGCUAGGACUUCCCGUGAGGUGAAUAGUAAUUCUAUGCCUAACCGCCUAAAAAAGGAAAAAGAGUAUGGAAAUGUAAGAAACAGAUCUAAGAAAAAUACGUUGCCGAUAGGGGAAGGAUUCGGUAUUUACCUCCGGGAUGAAGUUCUGAGUAAUCGGCGUGGUCGCCGAUGCGGAUGUGGAUGACGGGGCCGCAAUGGGGAUCGCCAUUGGGAUUUCUGAUGAAGCUUCCUCAUCUGUGGAUGGAGUGACGGUUGUCGCCACCACCACCGGAGGCGCUGUCUCUAGGGCAUCGCGUGCCGGGGAGCUGCCGGAAGGAGCCGCCAUUGAAGGAAAGAGGGAAGAAGUAACAGGAGGUGGAGCUAGAAAGCUUCGGCAGCAAGGGAAAGUGUCGAAAGAAGAAGGAUGCGCGCGCGUUGGAAAAAGAGACGUGAGCUUGAAGGUGAGGUGCGGUGAAGCGCUAUUUAAAGGAUGCCUGAAGAGGGGGUAAAAAUGGAAUUUUCACCGCGCCGGCGUUUCGAGUUUUUCGGGGGUAGUGGCUAUCGUGGGCGCCCGUUUCAAAAAUUGCAAUGAUCAGCUGGGAGAUCGCGAAACGGAAGGAGAUUUUCACUGCGGCCGUUUCGGAGGGGAGGUUAUAAAGAAUUUUGAAGUAAGAGACUGUGUUUUACUCCGAAACUGGGGGGCAUGUGUUGACGCCAGAUUUCGUCACCAGUAGAAUCGGCGCCAAGAAGAAAGGAAAUUGGAGAAGCACAGUUGGGAAUCGGCCAAAUGGUGCUACAGUGCGAAAUCAGCUGGCGACUUUUGUCUCGCUUUAGGACGAAUGCACCAGAGUCUCAAUCGGUAAUCUUUUGCCCAUGAGAAAUCGGCCGAUUAGGAGGGUGGAUUAAUUGGGCCUGUAUGGGCUUGGAAAGGGAUAGAAGGAUAAGGUGGAGGUCAGCCCACGAAGUGUGGAGUAACUAACCUAGCACAAAUUGUGUUUGUAGAUAUUCGUUUUCUGUUUGAAUUAGAGAUAGGAUUCUAGUCGGUUAAGGAAUUGUUUGUACGGGGCUAUAAAUAGCUACCUUUGUAAAUCUGUAAUCAUCAACCAAUCAAUACAACCAACUACUUUUUCUUCGUACUUACUUUCGAGCAGGCGACUUCGCCAUUACUUUUCUCUUCUCACGAGUUCGUGCGGGUUGGCAGGGCUGCAUCAUCCUGAUCUCCGGCCGAUUCUGUAAGUUCCGUUUAUCGAGUAAUAUCUAAG